CCAUUCCGUAGUAAACCGCUCAAAACCCUCUCUAGCAAACACCUUGCCCUCCUAUCCCUUCACCAAUCUCCUCUUUUUCAACCAAAAACUCUUUCUCAAAAUCCUAGGUAUCCAUUUCGAUUUCCACUCUAAUAAUGAACCAAACAUUUUUAAAUGAUUCGUCAUUUCAGUUCUCAUUCUAAUACAAUCCAAUUAUAUUCUUCAUUCUCAUUUCAAUCACGAACCAAACAUGCCCUAAAAAGAAAGGCGCAUGUGCGCCGGAGGGAAAUUCUUAUGAUUAGGAAUAAAAGGGACUCUCUGCAAACAAGAACCGACGAGAUAGUUAUCGCGAGCAUGCUACUAUGAUGAAAGAAGAUAUCGAGAGCUCUAAGCAUAGGGAGAGACACGAUAUUCUUAACUGCGAGUCUACAAGCGAAAGAGUAACGCAACCGAUUUAUCGCCUACUGAUUUGAAAAGCAGCUGUUAAACACACGCGCAGCGCUACACAGCCAAUUAGAUUGUUUACCGAGUAUCACCAGAAGCUCAGCUAAAAUAAUAUCGAAAAAAUAGGCAAUGUUCGACACAGAGGUACAUCCACUCGGACUAAAGACGCACCGCGGAUCAGUUCCGGACAAAGAUAUAUGCACCCAUCCGACCGGCUUAACGAGCUCCACGGUCUUUAUUUCCUACAAUUGCAAAAGAAGCAAAUUACUUAUUAUUAUCGUACUUAAUCAGCUUGAAACGAGAUUUCUAACUCAUGAAAUAGAGAGAUUGGACCGGCCUUCAAAUUGUGGAAGCUGUCGCCGGCGCGGACGGAGAUCUUGCUAGGCGUGUAGCUCUCGUCGAGCUUGAAAUCGACGUACAGAACCACAAGCUGAAGCGAAACCGCGUGAAAAAGAAAAGAAGAUGAGCAUUUGUUACUGAUUCUAAUAGAUGAAAACGAUCAAAGUGAGUGAAUGGGGAAGUACUUGCAACUUGAGCUUCCUCUGGAAUUGGAUGUUCACCAGAUGGGGCUGUGCUCCAUCCGAUCUAAAUCAAAACAACAAAAAAAAAAGGGGGGGUAAAAAAUGUAUGUAUGGUUGUAGUAUGGUUGGGAUUAGGGUUUGAAAAGGGUUUUUGAGGGGGGGGAUGGAUUACUGCCAGUAGGUGUCGAGGUUGUCGUCGCGGAGGGCGACGACGCCGUUGCCGGGCUUGCAGGAGCUGACGCUCCAGGCUGCCUUCUUCGCCAUCUCCCGCAGAUCGCCGCCGUCCACCGCCAGCUGCGGGCUGCCCGUCAGCUUCCCCCCAACCCCUGCCGCCGCCGUCUCCUCCUCCCCCUCCGACUCCGUCGCCAUCCCAAAAAAAUUUUCCCCUCUUUCUUUUUCUUUUUCUCUUUCUCUCUCUCUCUCUCUCUCUCUCUCUCUCUCUCUCUCGCCGUGUGUGUUUUGGGAGGACUCUUUCUACAAAAUAACUCACUAAAAUUUUAUAAUUUAGAAACAACAUGUGAAAUUUAUAUUUGGCAAAUUAAUCCUCUCAUCGCCACGGAGGUUUUUCUCUCAAUCGCGUACUGCAUUCUGAAAGUCUCUCUCAUAAAAACGGUGAAUUAUUCAUUGCAUUCAUUAAGACAGUUAAUAAUUCACCGUCUUUAUUAGAAUUACACAUAGAAAAAAAAAAUUGUUAGAAUUAUACGUGAAUUAUUAAAAUUUUUAUUUAAUUUUUAUAAUUAUAUGGAUAAAUUAUUAGAAUUUUUAUAGGAUUAAUUAUCUAAUUAGAAAAUUUUAUAGUGUGGUUUUGAAAAAAAAUCUGUUUUUGGACGGCCCAAGGGAACCUUUUUUUUUUUUUUGGAGUUUGGAUAAUCUGGUUUCGCAUUUUCUCAUUUUAAUACCCAACAGUUUAAAGUAUAUCGCUUUAGGACUACAUAAUUUUAUUUUUAUUUUUCCGUCUGCACCUCCAUUAACUUUCCGUCAAAUCGUAUACAAAAAAUUUCGAAUACCUCAUCUAUGAUUUAUCGAAUAUUCACUUUAUUACCCUAUAGUUUAACGAAUUUUUAUUUUAGUAUCAUAUGAUUUUAACUUUGUCACUGAUUUAACAAAAAAAUUAAUAGAAGAGAUAGCGAAAAAAAAAAAAAAAACUAUAGGAUACAAAAAUGAUAUAUUUUAAAUCAAAUGAUACUAAAGAGAGAAAUCAUAAAAUUACAUGGAUAGUAUUUGAUUUUUUUUUUUUUUUGAGUAAAACCUAAUAUACUCUGAAAUGUUUUUUGAAAAAAAUCUAAUAUGCACAUAUUUUUUAAAAUUGUCGUCCUUAUUUUAAACUUAUUCCCAAAAAUAUCAAAUAUAAACGAAUGCUUGAAUUUUCAAAAAGUAUUUGAAAAAUAGAGGGUAAGUUUGGUGGGUUGUAAUAGCAAGGGGAUAUUAUAAAUAAUUGCCCACCAUAAAGGAGAUUUCAAAUCUUACACCCCCCCCUUGUUUUACUAUUUUUUUAAAACUAAAAUAUAAGAAUUUAUGUGAUCCGAGAUACAUGCAGUAUAAAAUUUAUACUUGUAUCAAGAUCUUAAGUGCCCGUCGACACGGGACGUAUCCACCGUACCGUACCGUGCCAACAAGAUACUGGCAUGAUACAGAUCCCGUGCCGAUGGUAUAGCUCAAAGCCCUCUAUUUUUUAAAUUAGUAAGCAAUUUCCUUAAUAAGUUCCAAAAACGUGAUAAAUAGACAUAAUAAAUAGUUAGAUAUUUUGUUGCUAAAGAAAAUAAAUAUUUUAUGCUAUUAUGUAUUGGCACAUAAGAAUUUUUUUGACCGGCAUGCAUCGACACGACUCGGUACACACCGUACCGUACUGUGUCGUGCCGGCAAGUUUUCGGCACAAUCUCAUGCCACAGUACUUAAAUCCUUAACUUGUAUACAGAUACACAGGUAGUAUUUUUCUUAUUAUUUUUUAUUAUUAGUUGUGGUGGUAUUAUUUUUGAGGGAUUUUUCUUCAAGUUUUGAGCAACCUGGGACAGUUCCAAAUGCAAAGAACUAGGCGAGAUCUUAAGUGGGCUUUAGCCUGAACCAGGCCCAGAAAAAGUUCUCAUUUUUCGGUACGGGAGUUGCGUGAAGAGUUUUUAGUUUUAAGAUCUGGACUGAACACCGACUGUCCCUAGAGCAAGUGGCAAAAGGCUUGGUGGUUGGUACCCGAUAUCUAAAUUCAAAUCCUAGUUAAUUCACAUUUCUAGCUAAGUUUAUUUUUAAAUGAAAUAAACGAAGCGGGUAGCGUGCUAUCUAUCUCUCUAAAAAAAAAAAAAAGGAGGAUCUAAGCUGAACCCCAGAAUUGAGCAAUAAUAUUUAUAGCGUCAGAGAAUGAAAGAUUGAAAACACUUUCGAAUUUUGAGGGUAUUUCGAAUUAUAAAAAUAGUGCUUUUAACCGUAAUAUAAGUAUAUAACCCACUUCAAUCAUUUCUUUUCUAAGCACGUGCCGAUAUCUAUCACGCGUAUGAGAAAAUUAUGAGGUAGAUGAUCAAUCAUUACAUUGUUGCAAAAUAAUUACGAUUCAUUAUUUUGUCGUCCUUCAAAAUAAAACUUGCCAUUCGUUCCUCAUAUAAUUUCGAGAUUUAAAAGCAAAAAAAGAUCACUUUACAACUUCUAAUAUUAAAUUAUAUGAAAUAAUUGAUUUUUUUUGAAAGAUUAAGCUAUUAGAGAACAUUAUUUUUAAUAUUUAUAUUUAACAUUUGCGCUCACGUUCCGGCUCAAAACGGUUUAAUAAUAGUCCCAAAAUGCAGGCUUAAUUUAAAUGACAGGACUUGAACUUAAAUCCACUUAUUUUUUAUAUUAUGUUAAAUUAAAUGAAAUAAUUAUUAUUUUUCAAAAGUUGAAGCUACUAAAGAACAAUAUUUUAUAUUUGGAUAAGUUACAAAAAACUUUCUUGUCAAAAAUCCGAUUUUUCACUUUUCCCUCCUGUCAUUUAAAAAUUUACACUUUGUCUCUUUAUAAAAUAAAAAAUGUUCACUUCAUCUCCUUACCGUUGGUAAUCUGUUAGGGUUUCGUUUAUAAAAUAUUAUUAUAUAUUUUUUUAUGUCAAAAAUGCCCUCAACUUUCUGUCCUGUUGCCAAAAAUGAUGAGGGGCAAAAUAGUCAUUUUGUCAUCACAGUUUACACCGUAUCUCUUGUGACCAUUUUUUAUUUUAUAAGGGGGCAAAGUGUAGGUUUUAAAGGACAUGAGGGAAAGGUAAAAAAUCAGAUUUUGACAGAAAAAUUUUAUAUAAUUUAGCCAUUAUAUUUUUAUAUUCAACAUCCAGACUACAGCAGCAACGAAGCCCUUAAGGAGAGGGAAACAAAAUGUAAAAUUUUUCAUGCAAUGCUUUAUCAAACAGUAUUAUGCUGUACAGCAGGUUUAAGCAUGGUUAGUUAAUUCGCGAAUUAUUUGUGAAUUUUUGAAUAACCGAAUUAAACGCUCGUAUACGUAUUUUUUCGAAAAAUUUGAAAAAAUAUGCCUUUUUUUUCGUCAAAAAUAAUUAUCCGCGAAUCAUUCGCGAUUCGCGAAUGAUUCGCCCAAAAAAAGGGUAGUGUCGUCGUCGCUCUCGUCACCGAAGUGUAGUCGUUGUCGUCCUCCUUCGCCGCUCUCGUCGCAGAAAUCGCGAUUGUUCGGAUCCCAGUAAAACCCCUCCGAAAAAAAAAUUUCGGUUGAAAAUUUUUUUUCCCAUGUUCCAUUGUCCGUAAAAUUUUGUUUCGAAAAGCUAUUUUAUAAAAUUUGGAGAAAAUUUGGAGAAAAAAUCGUGUCACCGUCCGCGGAAACGAAAAGGUGGAAAUGGCACGGCGUUUGGAAGGCUUUGUUCGCGCGCGGUCCACGAGGCCACAUGAGAGGGACGGUGGACCUCCCUCUCAUUAUAUAUAUAUAUAUAUAUAUAUAUAUAUAUAUAUAUAUAUAUAUAUAUAUAUAUAUAUAUAGUCCGGCUAUGGUGCUUGUAAAAGUACCAAGUAUUUGGUGCUUAUAAAUUUUUUACCGUUAUAUAUAUAUAACUAGGCUGGAAUACUAUCAAUAGCACAAAGCUAUUGGUGCUAUUGAUUUUUUAGCCCUUAAAUUGAGAAAUGGGUGGUUAGGAUGAUGUGGACCCUCGAGGGUUGAGUGAGUGAUUAGUUGAAUAGUAUAAUCUAACGGAUAAAAAUAAUCAAAGGGUUAAAUCUAACGGUGAAAACUCGAUAGCACCAAAUCCUUGGUACUAUCGAUAGUACCUCAGCCGGACUCAUAUAUAUAUAUAUAUAUAUAUAUAUAUAAUAUUUUAUUUAUAAGCAUAAUAUAGUUUGUUAUUUUUUUUACUUAAUUAGUCUAAUUUUGUAGUUUUUUAUUUUUAUAUUUUUAAAAAAUAUGAGUAUUUAUGCUAAUAGUAUAAAUCUUGAGAGAAAAAAACUUAAUUUAAUAGUCGAAUUUUUAAUUGGUGAACAUAUAAUAUCCGUAUAAAUCACGUAUCCGAAUAAUUACCGAAUCCGUUUUUUAACCGUAUUUUUUAACGAAUUUAAAAAUUAAAAGAUAAAUUUUAUCCGAAUUAUACUCGUACCGAAUUUUUGUCCGAAUCCGAAUUAACUAACUAUGGGUCUAAGUAAAACCUCAGUGCAAGAGAAACAAAAAAAAAAAAAAAAAAAAAAAAAAAAAACUAGCAGAAUCUGUAUCUGAAGAUUUGCUUUUGGGCAUUACAAAUCUCAAAGUGCAAAUUGUCAAAAGGGGGUCCCCUUGUUUCAGUGGAUCUAAACAUUCCACAUCUAUGACAUCACAAAUAGAACGCCUUUUAUGAUUUUGUGUGAUGGUUUUUAGUAGAUUACUACAUCCAUUGCUUAAUGAGACAAAUUCCCCUCCAAAGCUAUUGGAGAUGAAGGACCUUUUACUUUGGAAUCAAACCAUAUAUAUAUAUAUAUAUAGUCCGGCUAUGGUAUUUGUAAAAGCACCAAGCAUUUGGUGCUUGUAAAUUUUUUACCGUUAGAUCUACAUCUUUGAUCAUUUUCAUCCGUUAGAUCAUACUAUUAAAUCAACCACCCACUCAACCCUAGGGAGCCUACAUUAUCCUAACCGCACAUUCCUUAAUCCAAGGGCCGAAAACUUACAAGUACCAAUGACUUGGUACUUUUAAAAUAUAGGAGCUCAAUUUUAUAUAUAUAUAUAUAUAUAUAUAUAUAUAUAUAUAUAUAUAUGAUGGUAGUGGAAAAGUUGAGGAAAAGAUGCAUGUAAUUAUGUAAGGUGAUUGAGGGAUAAAUACCUGGGGAAAAUUCCUUACCCACUCACAUAAUUCGCAAACAUUAAAAUUUGGAUAAACUUCAAAUAUCACCUAUUUGGUUUCGUGCUUUUUACUUUAAUAUUCUAUGGUUUUAAAUGAAUGAUUUUAGUAUUCCGUGAGUUUAUUUUUCUUUUUUCGUCGGUACCUUCGUUAAAUCAUACAAAAAAACUUAAGAUAUCUCACAUAUGGUUUACCGAAUUUUUACUUUAGUAUCAUGUGGUUUACUGAAUUUUUUAUUUUAGUACCCUGUGGUUUUAAUUUUGUCACUAAUUUAACAAAAAAAUCAAUAUAAAAAAAUAAAACUAUAGAUUAUUAUUAAACGCCAUAUGAUUCCACCUUUCUCAUGAAGCACACCAUCUUUUGUUAAAAAAAAAAAAACCCCCCAUAUAAUUAUCCACUUGUAAAUUUUAUAUUUUAAAAAUUUUGACCACCGAUACAGUUCUUCUAAAAUGUUGCUUUUAGAGCAUAUAUUAUAUUUGGCUAUGAUUUAAAUUUUUGUUAUUCUGACCACUCGUACUAACAUAAUUUGUCUGAUUUUGAAUGAAAGAAAUCGAAUCUCUAUUAAUAAAAGGUCGUUUGAUUUUGACAGUACAUUUUAUAUUUGCUUGAUAAAUUUUAUUGUAACUUUCUAUUCAAUUUUCAUAUAUUUUCAAUAUUAUAAAUUAUAUUUAAUGGUAUAAACUAUUCGAUUCGGAAGCUGUAUCAUUCAUUUAAAAAUAAUUUGCGAGUAUGAAAAUCACGGUGUUUAUGAAAUUAUAGUUGAUUUGUACACCUCCAGCUAAAUUUUUUUUGUUUAUUUUGUUUAUUUUUUUUUUUAAUUUUUUUUUUUUUCUAUUGAUGGAUUCUGAAGCGCAUUGAAGCCACAGGUCCCUGUUUUAUAACAUUUCCUUUUUUUUUUUUCUCACUGCAACAAAAGCUACAAUAUAUUAUUAUUAUCAUAUUAUUAUUAGAGUGAGGCUACUAUGUUAUCGGAAGCACGGAGCCUUCCGUGCUUCCAGCUCGUUUUCGAUUUGCGACUUUCGAAUCGUCGAUCGGCUCCGUUAAACUUGAUCUAGAGUAUUUGAAAUACCUAGAAAAUAAAUUUUAUGAUUUUAUGAUAUCAUUUACCUAGUGAACGAAGGGGUUCAAAAUAAACUGUAAGCACGGAAGGUUCCGUGCUUCCGAUAGCAUAGUAGCCUCACUCUUAUUAUUAUGUACAUGAGAAAAUGCUAUACUAGGAAAGAGACGAGGUAAUUUGACCGAUUUACCCCUACCCUCUGACGAGGAGACAAUAAAGUUUGACCGAGUCUAGGCAGGGCAGUUUUGUCUUUUUCCCUAAGAAGGGAGAAAAGGCCAACUAAGUGUUCUAUUUAAUUUUUUCCUUUUGUACUCUUCUCAUAAAUGGAUAUCCUUUAAGCCCUCAUCACGGGUCUUACAAUCUCAUCAGCUCACUAACCAACUCUUAACUUUUCUGAGAAAAGGAAAGGAGCUAAUUAGUACUAAAUUGUCACAAAAUAGCUGGCUUUUCCUUAAUAUUUUAUAUAAAUUAAUCAUACUAUAUACAUAUUAUAUUAUAUAAUUUGUGUGGAGUACUAUUAAUAGUAUGAAAAUAAUAUUUACUGUCGAUUUUUUUCUCAUUCUGUGCAUAUCUAGAGUUUAAUGGAGAUUGAUGGAACAGUAAUAACUAAAGAAUGAAAAAGUUGAUAUAAAUAAAACCAGAGAAAAUUAUUGAGAUAUUUAUUAAAUAUAUGCCAAAAUUAACGGUGAAGAGGAGGCGGUGGUGUUAGUUGUUAGAGAAAAACGAUUAUUUCAAAUUAAUUAACUUAACAUGGUAUUAGAGUAGUAGUUCCUAAGCUCAUUAAUCGAGUCCUAUCAUGCUCUUUAUGUUAUUUAAAUUUCUACUAUUUAAUUCGGUUUCAUCUUUUGACCAUCAAAAUAAUCUCGAGCUCGGACGUGAGAAGGGGAUAUUACAUAUAAAUAUUGAAAAUACUGUUCCUUGAUAACUUAAACUUAGUUUGGUUCGGGUAUAAGCAAGAACUAGCUAUUACAGGGAUAGAUACAAGUAUGGGGAUAAGAAAAAUAGCGUUUGGAUGAAAAUUGGGUCGUUUUCGGGGAUAAAAAAAAUAUUAGAUAGUUUUAUAUAAAAAAUAAAAGUGUUGGUGGGGAUAACUGAGAACUACUAUUCUCGGGUAAAAAAUUAGCGUUUGGAUAUAAAAGAGGGAUAAGGGCCUAUUUCUAUCCCUAUCCCCUAACCAAACGCUGAGAACAAAAUUAACAGCGAGAGGAAGACGUCUUCUACUACUACUACUGCUGCUGCUGCUGCUGCCGCUGCUAGCUUAGAUAGCUAUAGAUUUUCAUUCAUCCCUUUGGGAAGGCAGAUUCUCAAUAUAUUUGGUGCCCAGUAACUUUCUGGUGCUCAAUAAUGUAAUCAUUCAUCCAAAAUGCGAGAUGCAUCUCAAUAAAUGGGGACGACUCCUAUGCUUUGCCAAGUGGAUGAGAUGCCACCCCUAUAUUCAGAUGUACGAUUAAAUCAAUCAGCUGUUUUACUUAUAUUGUGUAUUAAAAUAUGUAAUUAAAGAAUCUACGCGAUCCGAUGUUCUCCUACAUCAUUUCCCCUUUUUAGACAAAUUGCGAAGUAUCAAUUCCCUUAACUGGAUUCACCAAUUAGACCACCACAACCCCCCAGAAAACUAACCCCCUCCUCCCCUCCUGCAUAUAAAAAGUAGAAACAGCAGUACUCCAAAACAACACAAUAUCCAAUUCGAUCUGCAGCUCACAUCUCUCUUUCUCAUCAAUGGCUUCUGGGUCGAAAUGGACGUACUCGCAGAACAAGCGGUUCGAGGAUGUGCUGGCGGAGUACGCCGAGGACACGCCGGACCGGUGGCACAACGUCGCGCGGGCCGUCGGCGGGGGGAUGACGGCGGAGGAAGCCAAGUGGCGCUACGAGCUGCUCGUCAAGGACGUCGAGCUCAUCGAGUCCGGCCGCGUCCCGUUCCCCAAGUACGGUACCCCGCCGGGCGAGGCGGCCGCAGCAAAAGCGGCGGCGCGGACGGGGAGGAGAGGUAAGGAGAACUCAUUCCAGUAAAAUCCUAUUAUACAUAGCUGCUCCAUUCAUGUCUCGCAUAGUGACGAGUUUAGACGCACUCCCAGCGAGAAAAUUUUAUGUACAGUCGAUGAGCCAGAUUUUUUUUUUUUUUUUUUAAUAAAAGCGGGAUAACUCUUAUUUAAAUUUCAACUUUAACAACUUAAGCAAAUUAUUUUACUUUAUGAUUUGGAUUGGAGCCCUCAAAAUAUAUCUUUUUCUAUUGAGACUCAACUUCUGAUUUUUUUAGAAUUUUUAUACGUAAUUAAGUUUGAAGUUUUAUCAAAUUAUUAAGUAUUAUCUGUUUAGUUCAAUUUGCUACAAAGUGAUUACAAUAUUUAGCAAAAUUACUGAUUAAUUCCAUAGAUUUCAUAAAUUUUUAGACUAAUAUCGCUUAAUUUAAAAACAAUCUAAAAUUAAAAAGGUAUCAACAAAAAGAACAAAGAAACUGAGGGGGUCACCAUAAACUUUUACCUAUAUAAUAUCAUAAAUUAUUAAAAAUUUGAUUGUUAAUUCUACUUUUGGUUUAUUUUUUGUACCCAAAGCAUUGGACUUCUUAAAACAAGUAAGAAAUCAAUCGUACUCGCAGUGCAGUUGGCUAAAGACUUGAUAGUUAGUACUUUAAAUUUUAAAUUUGAAACUUAAUUGUUUCAUCACUACAACAAAAUUAGAUUAUAAAAAUAUAUUUUUUAGACACUUUUAUGUAAAUAUUCUAUUUAUGCUAAAACAUUUUUAAAAAAUCUACAAACAAAAAGUUAUUCUACUCAACCAACCAAACUCAGCCCACUCGGUCCGAUUACAAAUAAAAAAGAAAAAAAAAAAGUUGAUCAUCAUCUCCCUUUAUCCUCCUCCGUCGCCGCAGCCGACGAGGUAGGGUUCCGGCGGCUGGAGUUCAACCACGAGGAUCUCGCAGGGACCGUAGAGGGCUACGAUUGUCACAUAUACCUCCGCCAGAAGUCACUGGAGGAGUGGGUGCCAAAUAUCAAGGCGGCCCUACCUAUACCGACUCUACAUAUAGCAACACGUUUAAAAAGUGUCGAUAAUUUAGCAACAUUACUUUUUUUGACCUGUACUGACAUUUAAAAAUAUCAUUAUUUAUUGUAGUGCAUAUUUCUAGCUAUUUAAAAAAAAAAAAAAAAAAAAAANUUGCAACUUUUCUAAGGAAAAAAAAAAAAGGUACAGCACAUUACUGAUUAGGAGUAAUUAUUUAUCAUGUUUCUAUUUAUUUCAAAAAUUGUAGCUAUAUAAGAAAUAACUAAGAAUAGUUUAUUUCUAAACAGAAUGGUACCUAAUGGAUCUUACAAGUGAUCACAUGAAAUCUAAUCUUGGUGGAUUAUAUCAUGCUUUAAAAGGAAAGCCUGACCUUCCAAACUUAUGGCUGACAGGGCUGCUGGGUAUGCCUUUUCAAGUCACUCUCAGCUGUAGCAUUUGAAAAGCCACAUAAUACUUUAUUGUGGAAAAUAAUAUAAUAAAUCUUCAUAUACUUCCAAAGUUCCAAAAUUAGUAAGCUGUAGCACUUAUGCCUGAUUAAUUGUGGUCCACAUUUUCAACAACUAGGCUCUGUUUGAUUUACACAUAAAGUGGGGAUAAUAAAGAUUACUUUUGUUAUUCUGCCAAACGAAAUAUUUUUUAGUCCAAAUAUUUUAUUCCGAUCAAAUUUUACUAUUCUGAGUUAUUCCGGAAUGGCUUGGUAUAAAUUAUUCUACUUUUUUGGCGUAAUACUGUUAUUUUAAAAUUUAAUUCCAAUCUUUAUUAAAAUUAUAAAUUGAAUUAAAAUUAAAUUUUAUAGACAUGAUAUCUAAUAUAUUAUAAUAAUUUUAUUAUAAAAUUAUUAAUUGUAAUAUAUUAAUACAUAUUAUUUAUAUUUAAAUAUUAUAAUAAUUUGUUUUAUAAAUUUAUUUUUACAAUAGUUAUUUUUAUAUUAAAUUUUAUUUAUUUGUCAAAUUCAACCACACUUUUUUUUAUUAUUCUCUACUAUUCAUAAAUUAAACAAACACAUUUUAGUUAUUCCUAGAAAUAACAGUAUUACAAACUAAAUAUUAUUUUAACUUUACUUUUGCUUCCUGGACUAUUCUGAAAGUAGUAAACUAUCAUUGAAUUUGAUGAAGUGAUAUUAUAUAUUAUAUAUAUAUAUUAUAAUAUAAUAUAUAUAUGAGUUCGCAAUAUUGUGUUUUUAAAGUAUCAAAUAUUUGGUAGUUAUAAGUUUUUCAUCGUUAGAUUUAUUCUUUUGAUCAUUUUUCCCUCAGAUUCAUAUUAUUUAAUUAACCAUUCACUUAACCCUAGAGGAUGCACAUUUCUUAAUCUAAGACCGAAACAUUACCAGCAUAAUGAUUGAUAUUUUUAAAAAUAUUAGAAACUGUCUUCUCUCUCUCUCUCUCUUCUCUAUAUAUAGAUAUUAUUGGAGUUUUAUUUUUAAAGGUUUAUAUCUUAUUGUGUACUUCAAUCACUGUAGCUAUAAAACCUUUUUUCCCCUAUUUUGCGUUGUCUAUAAUGGUAAAAUGUACAUAUCCUUAUUAUUGAUCUUCAUUAACAUGCUCUAUGAGAGAUCAUGUGUUACAUUAUCUUUUUCACGGUUGAAGUAUUUAAAGCCCCAUUGAUGAGAGAGAGAGAGAGAGAGAGAGAGAGAACCACAGCUGUGUUUUAUAGGAUUAGUUGGUGCAAAUUAAUUAAUGAGGGGAGGUGAAAGUUUCAGUGAGUGUGAAUGUGUACAUGGUGUAACAAGAUCAUAAUCACUAAUCUCUGAUAUAUUUUUUUAAAUUUUGUUAUGUGAUUUUCGUCUUGUAAUUAAGUUUUUUAUAUUAUAAUAUAUUAUUAUAUUUAUAUAUAGAGAGAGAGAGAUGGGAGAGAGAGAGAGAGAAGAGAGAGAUGGAGAGAGAAGAGAGCUAGGCUGCUAUACUAUCAGGUAGCACGGAGGCCUCGUGCUACCAAGUUGUUUUCAAUGAUGCGGUUAUAAUCGACGAUCGGCUCCGUUAGACUUGAUCUACACUAUUGAAGGUAUUUGGAACACUAAAUUUAUAAUUUUUCGGCAUCAUUUACCAAUCAAACGAGUAGUCUAAAAUGAACGGCUGAAAAUGAAAAAUCUCAUAAAAAUAGUGAUAAAGAAUUCAAAAUUCAAAUCGGAAGUAUUGGUCUUGCUAUUGAGUGUUAAGUAGAAUUUUUCUAUUAAUUUUCAUCUUAAUUUGGAUAAUUCUUCACUGUUGAACUUUAAAACGCAUUAUAUCUACCAUUAAAUUAGUUAAUUUUGGAACCUUUUGAUCCCUAGCAAAUAAUGUCGAAAAAUUUGAAAUUUAAUCUUCAAAUACUUUUAAUAGUGUGUAGAUCAAGUCUAACGGAGCGAUCUAUGCGAUUUGAACAGCGAAUCAUUGAACACACUUUACCGGAUGCACGAGGCCUCCAUUGCUACGAUAGUAUACCAGCUAGUUUCUAUCUCUCUCUCUUCUCUCUUCUCUUCUCUCUCUCUCUCUCUCUCUAAAAAUCUUGACAUAUAAACUACUUAUUAGUUUUUCGCUCAGUGAAAUUAUUGAUUACCUAAGAAUUGGUAUUCCAAUAAUACUAGGUAAAAAUUAUGAGUUGUGGAUUCGAAUUCUGAAAAUUACUAAAAAAGAAAGUUUUAUUGAAAGCAUGAAGUUAGAUUAUAGUUGAGCAUAUUGGUUGCUCCUUUGUGGGAAAGAGAAUACGAAGAUCCACUUAUUUUAUAGCAAUUUUUGUAAGACAAAUUAUAUAUGUAAAGAGGUCAUUUCCAAUGGAAACGGGGGAAAUUAGAAACUAAUGAAGGAAAUUUUAUUGAGAAAAGUAUUAUUAUUAUUUUUUUCAAACAGUUAUAUUCAAAUUUUUUUCGCAAAUUAAAAUUUAAACUUGCCCCAAUCUAAUACAAGCCCGUAACUCAAAGAUGUGACAUAUUUAUUAUAAUUCACAUAAUCUACCUCAAUUCUUUAUUUUUUGAGUUUUAAAUCAGUGUGGAAUUAUUCUGUCCUAUGAAGAAUAGAUGAAGACACAACACACAAAUCUACAAAUGUAUUGGAUACAAACAAUAAUUUCUCAUAAAUAUCAAAUGAUUUAAAUUAAUCAAAGAAAUUUCAAAGUUAGAUCAUAAAAGCUCACAUUUUUUUAAAAAAAAAUUAAUGGUCCUUUUUACAUGACUUAUUACUUUCAUAUGCUAUUUUUUUUUCCACCAAAAAGAAAAGAAAAGAAUAAGAAAUAAAAAAAAUGUUUGAGACAGCAAAAUCCAUAGCCAAGUAGUGUACUUAAAAAAGUUUCAACUCUGUUACCCAAAAAAAUUAUCUAGUUUGAAACAACUUAAAAUUAUUUUUAACACUUUUGCUCUUAUUCAUGAUAAAUAUAAAGAGAUGAGGAUUUAAUCCAUUGAAUACGUGUGUAAAUUUAAGAAAAAACUUCAAAUACUACUGAUGUGGUUUUGUACUUUCUUACUUUAGUGUCUUGUGAUUUAAAGUGUAUCAAUUUAGUACUCUGUGGUUUUAUUUUUAUUUUUUAUUAUCCAUUCCACUAAUUUUUUUCGUUAAAUCAGUGACAAAGUUAAAACUAAAGGGUACGAAAGUGAAUGUUCGAUAAAUCUAGACGGGUAUCUAAAAUUUAUUGUAUAUAAUUUAACGAAAUAUUAACGAAGGAGCUGACGAAAAGAGAAAAAUAAAAGCCACAUAAUACUAGCUUGAUAUACUUUAAACCGUAGGAUAUAUACUAAAGUGAGAAUGUGUAAAAGCACAGGAGUGAUAUUUGAAGUUUACCCUAAAUUUAAUUCAACAGAUAUCUAAAGGUAAAAAUUGAAUAAUUCAAAAUCUCACAAAAUAACAAGAGCUUUGGAUUGACUCCCAUACCAUGGCACACCCUUACCCAAUAAUCUAAUUUUAAUACCAUAGAGAUUUAUUGAAAUUGGAUCUCAUAAACUAAUCCCAUUGCUUAUUCGUUUCUCUAUACAUUUGUUUACUCCAAAUCUAACAAAAUAUUUAGCUUAAUUAUGUUUGGAUAAAAUUUAAAUCUCCAUUAUUAAUUUUUAUCUGAUGCAUUAUCAUAAGUGUUGGAAUAUUAACAAAAAUCAAAAUUUAUUAAUUAAUGCCCCACUAACCAAUUGUAGCUACCCACACAUUUCUCUAUUAAUUAGUCUCCCAUCUUUUACUAGAAAAAAUGUGUGAUGUUUAUGAUUUAGAUAAGUAUAAUAAUUAAUGUUAACACUUCAUAACGUGAACUUAAUUAAUAUCAGGAUUACUAAUUAUUAUAUAUUAAUAUUUCGUUUGAAGAUAAAUGUGCAUGGCACGUUAUGUGGACCACUUGUGAAAGAGAGGUGCGACUAAUUCAAAAUUUUUUAAUCAAUUGUUGGAUUUGGUGCACCACAUCACUUGUAGACCAAAUGAUUCGCUCUAUUUGCGGUGAAAAAUUGUAAGAGGUGUUGGUGUGGUGGUGAAAUUAUUAUUCGGAGUUCCGAGUAAUUGAUUUAUUAUACCAUAAUAAGAGAUUUUGUAAUUUUCAUACUUUAUGAAAAUUAUUAUGAAUUGUCCAAUAAUAAUUAGAAUAUAUUUUCCAAUAAAUUUUUUUUAAAAUUUUUUAGGGUUACUAAGCUAAAAAAUUAAUAUUCAAGUCAACGGUUAACUACCUGAAAGAAAAAUAAUGCCCGUAUCCUUAAAUAAUUAUUUAUAAAAGACAAUAUAAAUUUUGAUUUUUUUCACUUUCUAACUCUAAUUAACCGUUGUUGAUUGUGCUAAAAAAUAAUAAAAAUAAAAUUAAAGUAAUUAAGACAGAGCGGUUAAUAUGAAUACCAGAUAACGCAGAUUCAAUCGCGCCAAUAAAAAAUAGUUAUGAGAUGUAUUUGUGUCUCACUUCAGAUAUUUAUUAUUUUUUAAUUAAAAUUCUGAAUUAUCUAUUUUUCUGCGUAGUUGUUGGAUUAUAAUUUGAAAGUUAGAGAAAUUUUAUUAAAAUAUUCCGCACGUGAUUCGAGGGAGAUUUUAAAAUUGAUUCCGACGUGGAUCCACGUCGGAAUCAAAUUUAAAAUUGAUUCAACUGGUCUCGGUUCACCACGUCAGAUUGGUAUGACAUGAAUUCAACUGGUCUCGGUUCACCACGUGAGCUGGACCGGUUCUUUGAUUCAAAUUAAGUCGUGCUGCAACAUUCGUCCACAGUAACUCUCUCUCUCUCUCUCUCUCAAUCUUUAAUUUAGUUUAGAUUUUAUAAAAAAAUUAAUUUUUGAAUGAGCGAUUAGAGAGGGAGAUAAAUGGCUAAGAUGUUUUACUCUUAUUUUACUCUAAAAUUUAUAAAUUUAAUUUUUUGAGGUUGUUUUAUUUUUUUCCCUCCAAAAGCUAUUGGAAAAAAAAAAAGUAAUUUAAAUACCAUACUUUUAACAAAUAUUCUAGUUUUAUAACAUUUUUCAAAAAAGCCUAAUGGUAGAGUGAUAUAUCAGGUACAACUCUAGCUUUUAUCGUGUAGCUUAUUUUGAGGUAAAUACACCGGAGAAUUUAUGGUACAAAAAGCCUAUAGUUAUUGUAAAAAUUUUAUAGGGUUACUUUUAUAUAGUUUUUUGUAAAUAUAUCGAAUAACAAAAUUAUAUCUCUAUAAAAUUUAAUUUUUCAUAUUUAUUCUUAUAAAAGUCUAGCGAUAUUCAUAUUUGUCUAUUUAUUUUGUUACAGUUAAAACAUUAUUUAUUUUUUAAUAAUAAAUAAGUGAAACGAUAUUUUUUUCGUCACAAAUAUGUCUCUCCAAUAAUCUUAACUAUUAAAAUUAUGUAAAAAUAUUCUUCAAAAAAUUUUCAACUGUAAUCAUCUUUCUUUCUAUAUUACAAAUAAUGUAAGAGGAGUAAAAUAAUUAAUUUACUUCAUUCAGUAAUCAAGAUUAAGUAUUUUAUUUAUAAUUAACUAUAUUUUUCUAAGGAAUCCUAACUGUAGGAGUAUGUUUGAAAAUAUUAGAACUUCAAUAUGUUUACAUAGAGUUGUAUACAAUUAACCCGUAUACAUGUAUAAGUGGUGCGGUCCACGUAGGACGUGGUGGACCAGGCUCACUCUCAGCCAGGUCAUCACUCUCCGCGGGCCCCGCUACACUGUUCCAACGACCUCUCUCUCUAACUCCCUCUCUCUCUCUCUCUAACCGGUUGAAGGAGAAAAGAAGGGGAAGAAGAAAAGAGGAAGAAGAAAAAGAGAGGAAGAAAAGGAAGGAGAAGAAGGAGAAGAAGGUUUGGGAGCUCUUCUUCACCUCAUUCUUGGUUUAGGGCUUGCUUUAGAGCAAACCCUAGAGGUAAGCUCUAACCCUAGUUUUGGAUUUCUAAGGUUUGGAUGGUUUUUGUUGCUUUUAUUGGUUCAAAUGGAACCUAAUGAGCUUAGAGAUGAUGGANCUCCCUCUCUCUCUCUCUCUCUCUCUCUCUCUCUCUCUCUCUUCUCUCUCUCGGUUUCUCGUUCUCGCUCCCUACACUCUCGCUUCGUUGUUCCCUCCACCUCCUUUCUCUAUCUCUCUCGUCCCUCAGGAGCGAGCUAGGGUUUGAUAGAGAUCGGAGGAGGAGGAGGAGGAGGAGGAAGACGACGAAGCUGCAUACGAUGAUCACGAGCGGCGGCGGCGGAGGUGGGGACGAGAGCGGCGGGGAGGAGGCGGAGAGGUCGUCGUCGGACCUCCGGCGACCGUUCCUUCACACGGGGAGCUGGUACAAGAUGAGCGGCGCGGCGGUGGCGGCGGCGGGGUCGGGGAUGGGGUCGGCGCAGUCGAGCCUCAUGGGGUCCUCCGCCAUGGUGCUCCGCGACUCAUCCGUCUCCGUCGUGCUCUGCACCCUCAUCGUCGCCCUCGGCCCCAUCCAGUUCGGCUUCACCGGGGGCUACUCCUCCCCCACCCAGGACGGCAUCAUCGCCGAUCUCCACCUCUCCCUCUCCGAGGUUCGAUCACCAUUCCUGAUCCCGGAUUUUGAAUGAUUUGGAUGUGAUUCACGGUCUAAUUAUGCUGUUUCGGAAGGAAUGUAGAUGUCGACGAAGAGACAGCACGAGAUAUUAUGAAUUAAUUAUAUACAUUACUCGAAUGAUGCAACAAUUUAAUCAAGUAUAAUUCAAUUACCCGGAAAAUAAGGUGAUUAUGUCAGAUAUUUUAUUUUUUGUAUUGUUAUGCUGUUUAUUUAUAUUUUUUUAAACCGAAUUCUCCCUCUCUAGGGUCCCUUGCCACCAUUUCCAACUCCCUGAACAGUUCCUUGUUUUAGAUUUUUUUUUUUCGAAUUUUUAAAGGAAUUGUUUUCCUUUUUUUUUUAGGUCUAAUUUUCUCCAGUUAUUCACUUGUUUAGAUGUUGACAAAGAAAAAGCACAAAAAAUUAAGAAUAAUCUGUCUAUAUUAUUCAAACAAUUCAAGUAUUUUAUUUCAUUGGUUAUUUGUCUCAAUGUUUAAAUUUCUUACUGUGACAACGCAAGAAAAUGAGAUAAUUAAUUAAAAUUGUUUUUAACUAUUUUGCUGUGCGUUGAUUUUUUUUUUUUUUACUUCUCUUGACAUACCGAAAGCACAGGAAAUUGAUAAUUAGCUGGAUAACUAUUCAAAUAGUUCGAGAAUUUGUCCAAAUUUAGUUUACAUCUUACUGUAUAAUAUAUACUCUUAUUCAUGAUAGCUUUUGGGUUUUUAGCCCUUCUGAAUCAACAAACAGUUGAUGUUUUUAUUGUCUCUAUAACUACUAAUAACUAUUUCACUCGGACCACAAGAAAAAAUAAGGUAAUUAUAUCAGAUGUUUUAAUUGUUAUUUUAUAUUAUGUUUCCAUAAAGGGCAAAGCGAUCUGAUUUUCCAAUCUAUAUCAACGGAUUGCUUUUUUGAUCAUGCUGAACAAACGCGGAAUGAGAUAUUUGUGAUCACGCUCUUUUUCUUCCUUUUCUCUAAUUGAACUCAAAUGUUGGUUAUUUGAUUGGGUUUGGUUGCGGAUUUAUGUUUCAGUUUUCGAUCUUUGGUUCUCUCUCCAAUGUGGGUGCGAUGGUUGGGGCCAUUGCAAGUGGGCAGAUGGCAGAGUAUAUCGGACGUAAAGGGGUAGAAACUCUCUUGCUAUCUCGGCCAAUUCUAAAUCUAGCCACUGUAAAAUAGAUUUGAUUUUUGAUGUGUAAUGAAUGGAAAUGGUACUUGUUUUGCAGUCAUUGAUGAUUGCCUCCAUUCCGAAUAUUAUAGGUUGGCUUGCAAUAUCAUUUGCACAAGUGGGUAAUUUUUCAAGUUUAUAUCUUUAUUUUUGCUUUCCACUCGUCUGUUUGGAUGUCAUAUUGAUUUAGGUACAUGGUAAAUACAAUUUUACCAGGAUUCAUCAUUCUUGUAUAUGGGGAGGUUGCUGGAAGGAUUUGGAGUUGGUAUUAUCUCCUACACGGUUGGCUAAGAUUCCCUUCCCUGUUUAAAAAACCAUUUAGAAAUUCUUUUUGGCUACUCUUUGAUUCUCUUGACCAUGCUCUAUUAUAUAUAUCUAGGUACCUGUAUACAUAGCAGAGAUAGCUCCCCAGAACAUGAGAGGAGCCCUCGGCGCUGUAAAUCAGGUAGGUUCAUUCUUCGCGAUAGCAAAUCCUUCCUCUUUUUCUUUUGUUCUCUAAUAGUGAUCAUUACAAGUUUUUUUUUUUUUUUUUCCGAUCCACUGUUUUCAGCUGUCUAUUACAAUUGGCGUUUUACUGGCUUACCUACUCGGUAUGUUUGUCCCAUGGAGACUGCUUGCUGUGAUAGGUGAAGUACCUAAUUCUUUUGGUAUCUUGAGUUGGGAUUGGUGAUAUUUUGGUGAUUUAUAAGCUGCUUUGACUUUAAAGAAAAUUUGCAAGUGGAUGCGUACUCUCAUUGGGAAUGAGACAAAAUUAGUUACUUAUACAGUCAAGCUUGUUCCUUUUUCAUUAUCAUGCCAAGUAAAAGCGAACUGUUCUCUUGAUGCUUGAUUAACUGUUCAAUGAUCUCUGACCUACCAUUAAUUACAGGCACUUUACCCUGCAUAAUCCUUGUACCUGGUUUAUUCUUUAUUCCUGAGUCUCCAAGGUGGCUGGUAAGAGUCAUGGUAUAUUUGCUUGUUGAACAAAAGAGCUGGAACCUACUAAAACCCUUCUUCCCCACUAUAUCUAGGCAAAGAUGGGGUUGAUGGAAGAUUUUGAGACUUCGUUACAAGUUUUGAGGGGAUUUGACACUGACAUUUCUCUGGAAAUUAAUGAUAUCAAGGUUGGUAUUGUCCUUCUUUUCUGAAUGUUUAUAAAUCAUUUUCAUCACAUUAGCUAGCUAGUCACUGGAUCACUAGGAGCUUAUGUGCCAGGUGAUGUGUUCUAACCAAAUGUGUCAAACUUACUUAUUUGAUGGCCUGCUUUUUGGCAGAGAGCAGUAGCAUCAGCAAAUAAAAGGACAACACUCCAUUUGUCGCAUCUAAACCAGAAAAGAUACCGCACUCCACUUUUGGUAAGUUGAUUUCUGUCAUUUCUUCAGUUAUAUUAUAACUGGCCAGUAGUUUAGCAUGUGAGUAUUAAUGCCUUGUGCUAUAAUGUUACAGCUCGGGAUCGGCCUGCUUGUGCUGCAGCAGCUAAGUGGAAUCAAUGGUAUCGUAUUUUAUGCUGGCAACAUUUUUAAAUCUGCCGGUAAGUUAAUCCAGUAUUUGGUUUUCUUAUUGCUUCACUCUUGCACCGCAGUAAAUAACAAUUUGUUCAAUAUAUAUUAGUUUAGUGCCUUGAUUGUAUUAAUGUUAGUUUUAAUAUUUUAUUUGCCCAUUAUUCUUGAUUUUGUUUUGUUUAUUAAUGCUUGUUGAUUUUCUAAUUAAACGCUACUUUUUUAGCAGAACUUCCUCUUUCAUCUGCGUAUUGUUGCUCAUUAUGAGGUGUGGUUUUGAUAACUCUUAAGAUGAUAGAGAUUAUUGUCUUAUUAGUCUUCUAUGCAUCUCUAAGAGUAUAAAAUAUCGAUGCAAUACCCUCUUGCUAAUAUCAUUAACCAUUAUAUUAGUUACAACAGGGUGUUUACAGAACUCAAGCAACAUUGAUCCAGUUAACACCUAAAUAAAAUAUUAAAGAAAAUUGACUGGUCUAAUUAUAAGCUGGCUAAAUUAUGCUACGCUUCCAUGUUGUUGUCACAAGUUGAUCGUGGUAUUUCUCUGCCAUGAACUCUCAGUGUCUUUUUUUUUUUUUUUUAGACAUGAACUGCCAUGAACUCUCAGUGUCUUGAUUUUCAAUUGCUUCAUUUGUGUCCUAUACUAGCAGAUCAUGCCUCGCACUAGCUUAUAUGCAGUGUAAGUGGUUACAAAUGUGUGCAAGUUCGCAUACUACUAUCUUUAGGAGUUUGUGUGCGCUCACAAACAGGAAACUACUUCUAGCGGUUUUUAGCAAUCGGUUUUAAUAAUCAAAUCAUCUGAUGCGAAGCUGUUAAUACUUAAGUUUCCAAUAGAUAUGCUUUUAAUUUUCUUUCCCUUCUUUGUAGUUACAUUUUGAAAUAACUACCGAGGCUGGUGCUUUUAUCUUUUGAUAUCUUAUUGCUGGCUUCCAUCUUUCCAUUUCACAUGCCAUUUUGCAAAUUAUUUUCCCAUAUCAUCCUACUCAUCCUUCUAGCUUACCUUGUUGCUGUUGGUAACUGAAGCAAUAUAAGAGUGUAAAAGUUUCUCCAGUUUGAUUCUGUUAUAUUUUCCUACUUUGAACAGGACUAACAGAUAGUAACUUAGCCACAUGUGGUCUUGGGGCUAUUCAGGUAACAAUCUUGUUUCUUGACUGGGAACUGGGACAUAAAAUAUCUUUCAUCUUGUAUUUUGAUGUGUCUAAUUUACUUAUUGAACAUAUACAUUCAGGUUCUCGCCACUGCAGUCACAACCUGGUUUCUUGACAAAGCUGGUCGACGAAUUCUCCUUAUUGUAUGUUGUAGCAGAAACCUUUUCUUCUCUAAGCAGCUUGUAUUCAACUAUUUGUGAAAGUUUACAUUACUUGGUUUCAGAUUUCUACUGCGGGAAUGACCAUCAGUCUGUUUUUUGUUUCUGCUGCAUUUUUCCUGGAGGUAGGUAUUGUCAUAGGCUGCUUAAAAUGACAUCUCUUAAUUCAAGAUUAUUGGGCGUGACUUACCCUUUGAUAAUUCAUCAUCUUCUUGACUUAACUGAAUGUUUUCCUUUGCUCUCUUUUAUUCUGUUAUAACCAGGAUAUUUUUUCUGAAGAUUCUCACAUUCAUCAUGUACUGAGUAUCCUCUCAUUGGUUGGACUUGUGGUAUGUUUUUCAUUUGAAAUGCUGUUUGCUUGCAGAUAUUUUCUAAGCUACUUAUCUCCUUUGAUUAUUUGAGCUCUUUCUUUUUAUUUCAAAACUUAUUCAGGCUAAUAUAGUUGCAUUUUCAUUUGGGUUGGGAGCCAUUCCAUGGAUCAUAAUGUCUGAGGUAUGGUACUUAGUCUUGUUACUAUUGUAUUUAAUAACUAGAUAGGAACAGAUUUGACCUUAAAGAGACAACUUGACGCAUGUCAUGUGUUUACCUUGUAGAAGCAAGUUCUCUUUUCAUGUCCUAUGAAUGCACCUUUUAAAUAUGAUGUAUUUUGGUUAUAAAUUAAUAUAAGAAUUCCUUUGCAUGUUAUGCUCGUAAGGAGAUACUUUGAUACGCCUGUACUGUCUGUAUAUAUAUAUAUAUAUAUAUAUAUAUAUAUAUAUAUAUAUAUAUAUCUUUUGGCUGUUUGAUCUCAGUAUAUCUAUGAUAUGAACCAAUGGAUACUUCUUUUGUUUUUCUUGUUUGACAUAGCAAAAAAUAACAAAAGCAGGUGCUAGACAUAUUUGUUAGUUCACCUAUUGGACACUUUUAGAUAAGUGAAUUAUGAUUUUUUGGCAAUUCUAUUAAUGGUUGGUAUUGUAGAGGUGGUCAAUUUGAAGAUAGAUGUAUAUGCUUGAAUCAUAUUUCGGUGGUCCUUUUGGUUGUUAGUUUCCUCUGGUGAUCAAUAUUUUAUGGUUCAAAUUUAGAGUAUAUGUUUACUAUUGUAGCCUGUUUGGAGGAUGCCUCAAAAUUAAGGUCGCAGCAGUGAGUUAUAGUGAAAAUAAUUGUGAUCUGUGGAUGCUGUUACAUUUCUGUUCAUUAUUCUUGUAUAUGCUUCUCUAUGUUUUCGCAAAAAAAAAAGUCUAUGUAAAUGAUAUCUCUAUUUUCUGUGUGACAUAACAAAUAUUCCUUCUUGGCUAUGCUGACAUGCAUUCUUUUGAUAUUGAUCAACAAGGUGAAUUAUGAUGAUUCUUCAUUUUGCAUAUUUUGUAUUCGUGUUGUUUUAGAUAUAUUUUUCAACUGAUCUUUAGGGUGAAUGAAUCAGAAGUGUAGCUAGAAUAGGAAAAAUUAUUGAACUUUUAGCUAACAGUUAUAUUAUACCCUUUAAUAUUAGCCUUGAUGAAAUUGACGUAACUGGAUCUUUGGCUCCUUUUAAGAGAUCCCUGUGUUGAAUUUUAACCAAAACACAUUUUGACCAUUUUUAUAGAUUGUAUUGCUAUUAUUAGACAAGCAGGGCACAAGAUCAUAUUGAUUUUCAACCAAACUCAUUACUUUGUGUACCUAAGUUGCCGCAUACUUUGUUCAGCUUCGCCAAUUUGAGAAGCGAUUUCUGCUAUCAGAAAGAGUGCAUUAUAUCACCAAUAAAUAUUCCUCCCAUGCAUCAAAAGAUAAAUAUUGCGCCUACUUUAGCUUUCUAUGGUAGCAAAUUUGUUUCGCUGUCUUUUUCCUUCAUCCUUAGACAUAAUCUCGAUGUCAACAGUAUUUAGGCUGAUCAUGUAUGAUGCCUUUUCAGAUACUUCCUGUUAAUAUCAAGAGCCUUGCUGGUAGCGUCGCAACCCUUGCCAACUGGCUCACAUCAUUUAUAGUUACAAUGACCGCAAACUUGUUGCUAAACUGGAGCAAUGGAGGUCUCUCUCUCUCCCUCCCUGUAGAAGUUUGUGCGAAGCUUGAUCCCAUUAAAUCUAUACCUUUCUUUUGCAGGAACCUUCACCAUCUACGCGAUCGUUAGCGCCUUCACUCUAGUGUUUGUUAUACUUUGGGUGCCCGAAACCAAGGGAAAAACACUUGAGGACAUACAGUGGUCUUUCAGAUGAGCAGUUUAAUUGCCCCAUCGACAAUCCUCUGCCGAAAAUAGCAAAUCAUUUUCAAUUAACUAUUCACACCAAUUUCAUCAAGCAGAAAUGAUGAGUACACAAAGCAUCAGAUUUUCGCAUUUAUGGGGUUUGUCGAGUCACUCCGCGGCAUCGAAUCACCCCUGAAUUUGUUACAUUUUUUUUUUUUAUUUUUGGGUAUUUUAGUCAGCCUGAUUUCAUUAGCUGGUCAAAGAACAGAUUUCAUUGUUCUUUUUUCUUCUUUUUUUUUUUUUUUUUGAAAAAGAGAGCUUUUAUACGAUUAGACAAAUAAACAUGUAAACCAGACCCCAAAUUUAGACAUAAAUAACAGAUUUGUGAGUUUUGUAUUCUUGGGAAUCUUUGCUGUGUGUUUUGCCUGUUCUGAGCAAGGGGGUCUAUUUCUUUGUGCAAUGAUGUGUAGUAAUUGUAUAAGAGAAUUAAAGAAACAAUAUUUUACCCUGGUAAUAUGGCGUUCAAAUCCAAUCGGAAAUUUCUGGUGCCUUUCUUGUUAAUUUCGUUACGAGGUAUAUUUAUUUUCGUUUUUGUAUACAUAUGUUAACAUGUUUCUCAGAUUGUAGCAGUUUUAAAAGUAAUAUAGAAGUUGAAAUUCAUGUAGUGGAAACUAGAGAUCGAUAAUGUGUAUGACAAAUUGGCGACGUGAACACUUUCUUUCAUUCAUCAAGACGCAUUCAAUUUCAUAUAACGAUAUUCUCAUUACAAAUCAUUUGGUAAGAUUGAGUGGGAAAUUCCCCCAUAAAAUUUUCUUCUUUUUUUUUUUCCAACAAUUUUGAUGGAAGCCAUAAUCUAAAUUUUAUAUAUAUAUAUAUAUAUAUAUAUAUAUAGAGUAGAGCUCCUGUGCUUUUAAAAGCACAGGAGCUCUUGUGCUUGGGACUUUUUCACCAUUGGAUCGGCUUCGCCUCGAGAUCCGCGCGUAGUUAUUGGGUGGAACUAGACGGCAAGGCAAAUAAGCGGCGUUACUCUCUCUCUUCUCUCUCUUCUCUCUCUACACGUGAACCCCCUCUCUCUUUUCCCUCUGGCAACCCACCUUCUCUCUCUUUUUCUUUCUCUGACAACCCCCCUCUUUCUCUCCCUCUCUCUCUCUGGUUCCCCCACCAGAUCUAUUCUUUUCUUUUUUUUCUCCCUCCAUCUCUCUUCCUCUUUCCCCUUCUCUACGGUGGUGGUCUCUAUCCCCUAUCCGACGCUCCGACGACGCCACGACAGUAAGUCGUGCGCACCUCCGCGCCGACGCCUUUCGGGCCGCGGCGCUACAGAUUUGAUCCCGGACNGUAACAAAAUAUUCACUUUGAAUUUUGAGUGACAUUCAAAAGUUUUAAUUUUUCUACAUGCCCUUACAUGAUUUUUCGGAUAACUACUAUUGUUAAUUCUUUUAAUUUGAUUUCAUUGUAUUUUGUUCUCCUGGAACUUUCGCUUUUAUUUUAAAGAAGUUAUAAAAUAAUCUCGUUAAAUAGCAGAAUAUUUUCUUACGUACAUUGUAUCUUUAAGAUUAUAAAGGGUCUCAUAAAAUGUCGAAAUAACAAUGAAAUCAAAUUAAAAGUAGGUUAGAUAGUAAGAUAGUAAUAACUAAUUAAUAGGAGUGUGAACGCAUCAUACAAUAUCACUUUAAAGGCAUAUAAUUAAGUGAAAAAGAGAAAAGCCCAGGUAUAGCUAGGCUACAACUUAAUUCAUUAAUUGAUGAGGGGAUUAUAUCUAAUCUAAGUAAUUAAACAAGCUCAUUAAUCAACAACAACAUCAUCAUGCGUUACAUCAUUUUUCGUUCUAAUUAUACUGGAAGAGACUAGGCCAGUCCCGGACGUGGAACUGCGGCGCCUGUGCCGCGGCGGCGGCAGCGUUGAGCCGCCACGAGUCGGCCCCAUCGUCGCCGUACAUCGCGAUCGACACCGCGCCCUUUGACGCCGCCGCUGCCGCCCCGUAGCAACCCCAUUGCUGCUGCAGCGGCGGCGGCGGUGGCGGCGGCACCGCCGACGAUGUCGCGGCGCGCCUCUCUUCCUUCUUGUAGCGGAUCCCACACGCGUUACACAGCGACUGCAAAGGAUCAAGUGUUUUAUGUUUUACAUUAGCGACUUUAAAGAAAGGGAAAGUACUGUAAACGAAGUAUUAUAGUUUGUGAAUUACUGCUGUGUAUAUAUACUCGGAGAAAUUAUCGUUUUAGUUAUAAUUAAUAUAAUUGGAUAGGCUGAUAGAUGAACUUUUUCAUUCUUGUCAUUGCUAACUAAUUACUUGCCAUGCAAACAUUCUGUAUACAAAAAGCAACUUCAAAACUCUCAUUUUUUACCGAAUAAGUUAUCAUUAAAUAAAUUAUUUUGACUCUCACACAGACGAGCACUUGUGACUUUUUCUGGAGGUGUAAAAUUGCCAAACCACAAUAAAAGAUCAUAUCCAGUGUAAGAAGAGCCCGAAAAACUCCGUUUGGCUCGGGUAUAAGCAAUAACUGUCUAUUGCAGAAAUAGGUACAAAGUUUAUCCUACAAGUACUAAUCUUAUCGCUCUCUUUUUCUUUUUUUUUUCUUUAACAUACGACUAAAGAUGGGUCUGUAAACUUUAGUAACUCUUGGAUGAGCGAUUGUAGAGAUUAUAAAAUAAUACAUUUGCGCACGCACCUUGGGCCCCCGUGGGCCGUUCCGCCACAGGGGAGUCGAGGUGGUGUCGCAGUUCGCGCACCUGCGCGGCGCGUCCCCACCGUUCCCUUUCGAAAACCCGCCGCUGCCACCGCCGCCGCCACAGCACUGUUGCUUAUUGGGCCGGCCCAUUACGUCCCAUUGUAAGCUCGACGGGGGCUGGGCCGGGCCGGGCCCACCAAAGCCCGGGCCCGCGCCAGCGUGGCGCGUCGAGGGCGUCCCCAGCGACAGGGUGCAGUCCACGUAGGACGACAAUCCCUCUCCCUCGCCACCACUACUAGAACCAGUACUAUUACUAGUAGUAGGAGGAGCGUAGGAGGGGAAGAGAUUGCUAAUGGAGAACGACGACGACGAGGAUGACGUGGCGCCUCCUCCACCUCCGCACGUGCCGCCGAGGAGCCCGCACGUGCUCCUCGGGCGCCCGCACUCGUGUAGCAUCGAUCCUACCAUGCACGGGCGUUUUAGAAGAGUGGUGGUUUGCUUUUGUUUUCGAAGGAGUAGGGUGAUAAUAUAUGUGUAUAUAUAAUGUGGGAGGGGGUGGGUGGUGUGGUGUGGUGUGGGGAAUGGAGAAGUCGAGGAGAUCGAUCGGGAUUUGUUUGUUUGUUUGUUUGUUUGUUUGUUUGCUUGCUUGUUUGUUUGUUUUUGCUUAGGCUUGGUACGUAGUAGAGAUCGAGAGGUGGGGAAUAUAUGUAUUAAACCAACUUUGGGAAAUGGAGAAAAAUAAUAAUAAUAAUAAUAACAAUUAAUGGGUGGAAGUAGUAAGAAGCCGCAGCAAUUAACAAAUGCGAAAAAUAGAAAGAUAUCCAAGAGACUUGUCACUCCUCACUGGUCGUAGUAAUAGUGGUAGUAGUAGUACUACUACUGCUACUACAGCAUUGUUGUGUUUGAGUGACAGGUGAUGAGUUAGGAGGAGCCAGGAGAGAGAAAUUAAGAAUGCUCCUUAGGGAUGGGUGAUGUAUAGAAGAGCUCCAACACCUCUUUCUCUCUCUAACCAAUACUCUCUCUCUCUCUCUCUCUCUCUCUCUCUAACACACACACACACACACACACACACUAUAUCUCGUAUGAGGAAGGGCACCAAGUUGUUGGGUGGAGCUAAGGGGUGUGGGGGAAAUGCACUGGUUCUUAUACAACAACGACGUGUGAUGAGGAGGGUGUACUACAUAAUAACACAAGACGAGGAGAGAGAGAGAGAGAGAGAUGGGAGAGAGAGAGAGAGGUGGCGCAGGAAACAAAGUGGGUCAGAGGUAGAGAGAAAGGGAGAACAGAGGAAGAAGAGAAGGGGUUGGUCAUGGUCAUGGUCAUAUGGGGCGGUCAAAAGAGGCCACGUGACAUGAGGAACGGUCUCCCAUAAUAAUCGAUCGAUCAUCUCUCACACACUUCUUAUUACUUCCCCGAUCACGAGGGGGCGCAGAGAGAGAGAGAGAGAGAGAGAGAGAGAGAGAGAGAGAGUGCAUGAUCAGUAAAGAGGAGAGAGAGAGAGGAGGGAGAGACACGAGGCGAAACCCGACACGCGAGCCCGAAUCCGAACAAAGCCUACCCGGUCCGUAACGUCACAAAAUAGGAGGACGGUACGUACGUGGCAAGCUCGAUUUAUAAGAGAACCCAUCGUACGUACGUGGCCUCAUUAGCUUGAAAUUGCCAUGUCACAAAGAAAAAACAACAAAAAAAAAAGAAAAAAUCUCUCUUUCGUACGACAUUUUUUGUUUUCAUCUAACGAUUAUAACGUAACAUAUUGUACUAACUCCAUAAUAUUAUAUGAAUUGAUUAGACGAUAGUCCAAUUACAGAUAUAAAUUAUCAAUUAUAUUAUUUUAUUAUUAUUUUAUUUAUUUUUAAUUGUGCCGUUUUCGAUAACUUGAGUUUUGAUUGUAUUUUUAUUACGACGAAAUAAAUAAUAAAAUUAACCGUUUACAGCCCGACUUCAUUUAGCUCCAUUUUCAGAGUUCCACCUAAGCAAGCGGACCCCUAUUAGUGCAUGUUAAGCCUCACACGUGCCAAACACAGUUUGAUCACGUGAUUACCUUAGUUGGAGUAGUAACUGGUAAGAAAAAGAAAAGGAAAAGAAAAAAAAAAAAAGGCAAAAACAAAGAAAAAAAGAAAAAGUAGAAUAUCUAGGAAUUAUUUGCAUGGGUUGUCCUGUGUACGCCAUGAUUAUUAACAACGCUUCCAAAAGGCCGAGCCAAAUCAUCGGUUCAAAGCCCCAUGUCUCAGAUAAGUAGAUCGCGUCUUUUUACACAAUCAAAAUAUAAAGAGAGAGAGAGAGAGAGAGAGAGAGAGAGAGAGAGAGAGAGAGAGAGGGAGGGGGGGGGCGGAACUUUUGCAUGAGCGCGGUGCGUAAGUACAUCUAUCUGUGUCUCAUGCACCAUAUAUAUACUUUUAAAAUAGAAUUUUAACUAUUAAAUGUGUUUCACAAUAUAAUUUAUAGAUAUUAUUUCCAUGAACACUACAUUUGUGGCUCCCUACUUUUCAUGAAGUUAUCUAUUCUAAGACUACUCUAGUCAUAACACAUUUAAUCCUUUUAAUCUCUUGUGCCUAGCCACCGUCUAAUAUAUAAUAGCUAAAUUAAAAGUUUUAGUCUUAUUAUACUUUAUAUAUAGAACUAUAUGAGGUCUCCUAAUUUUUUACAUCCGUCCUUGAAAUGUUCUUUAUCGAAUCAGAGUGUGUGUGGAGUUGAAUUAAUUGAAUAGAAGGAAAUUAUAUAUAUAUAUAUAUAUAGGAUGCUAUCGAUAGCAUGAAGGAUUUGGUGCUAUCAAAUUUUCUACCGUUUGAUUUACCUCUUUUAUCAUUUUCAUCUGUUUGGUUAUAUUGUUCAACCAACCACCCACUCAAUCCUAGGGAGUUCAAAUCAUCCUAACCGUACAUCUUUUAAUCCAAAUACAGAAAACUUAAUAGCACCAAGUCAUUGAUGCUAUUAAGGGCCCGUUUCGUUCGAGUUAUGUAAUAUUACAAAGUAUCUCGACAUAUCUAGGUAUCGUGAAUUUCGGCGUGAGAUUACUACUGAUACUGCAUUAGUGUGUUUAGUUUAAUACAGUAAUAUAAUACUAGAUUACAGUGUUUAUAGCAUUAAUAUGUUUGGUUCAGUUUAUAAAAUUUAUACCCAAAUUCAAAUCUAUUAAAUUUUUAUUUUUAAUAUCUAUAUUCGAAAUUAUUAUAUAUAUUUAGUAUUGAAUAAAUAUGUUCCGUUCGAAUUUGAGUUCAAAUAAAAUUUCGCGUCAAUCGGCAUCCCUAGUGUAGGCAACAAUUUCUAGAGAGAGAGAGAAGCCAACAUAGUUGAUUUGUCUCUCCGUACAUACUACAUGCAUGCUCCAAUCCAUCCCUAUCAAAACAGUGAAAAGUAAGAGAGAGAAAGAGAGAGAGAGAGAGAGGGGAUGCAUGAUCUUUUGCUGUAUAAUAAUUUAGCUGGGAAGGUGUGAGUGAGUGUUUGUUUCCCAAGUCAAAGGAGGGUCUCAAAUGGUAGAUAAAAGAGAAAGCGAAAGCCCCGGGUGGAGCCCAUCAUUCCAUCUGCAGCAGGCCAUCAUCAGCCAAAAAACGUACGACUCCGCUCGCCGACACGAUCCGACGCGGCCCGAACACCAAACAACAAACUUGUUAAUUCAGGUCGCAUCCAAUGACUUCCCUCCACGUGGCACAUGAGUAUUGUAGCAUCCAUCUUUCUACGUAACCCUAGUGAAGUUACCGCGCACUGCGGCGUGCUAAUACUAUAAAGGGAAGUAGAUUACUAAGAUAAAAAUUUUAUAAUUUUUUGACUUAACAUGAGAUAUCAAUAAAUACAAAUAGUACAAAAAAUAUAUAUAUAUAAAAAGGUCUUAUUUUGCUUUUUUUUUUAUGAAAGUAAUUUAUUUAUAUAGAUGAUAAUAGACCAUGUGAACACAUUAACUAAAAAUAGGCGGAUGGAAAGACGAAAUAUCGGACAGAGAUGGAGAGUCGAAGUAUCAUCAGGGAGUGAGAAAGAAGGAAAAAGUAAGGACAAAGGAGGUACUGUUAUGUGGCAAAUUUUUUAAAAAAAUAAUAUAUAGGUAUAGAUAAAUGAUAUCAACACAAUGUAAGUCCUAAGCUAUCUAUGUUCCAUCGUCUCGUUUGAUCUAUUAGUAGAUCUAAUAUUAUGCAUGCAAAUGGAUCCAGGUUGAUGCAGAGCCUUCGUCCCAAUUCGUUCUAGAUUGAAUAGUAAGUGGGGGUCAAAAAUAAGGAAAAAUAAAAAAACUUUUUCCGAAAUCGACUUAUAUUCAGAAAAUAAAGUGAGGGUUAAUUUUCUGUCUUUCAACCACCCUUAUCUUUAUAAAAGCUACUUCAGUAACAAUUCAUUUGCCAGGAAUGUGAACAAGUAUUGCAUGAAUCAAUCACCAUACCGUAAAUCUCUACGCGCCAGUAGUUAAUUUACGAGAAUCAGUAUUUUGAUUAAAUUUCAUACGGUAAUAUAUACUUGCAGCAGUGCACAGUAUAUAGGUGAUUAGAUUUCGUGCUUGGUGCUGCAGGCGGAGCAGCGGAUUCGUUCGAGAAGAUCGUCGUUCAAAAAGUUGCCUCCCGACAAAACCAGAGGCAUAGGCCUUGAGAUUGCCGUCCAGCCGGCUGGAAUUCAUGAAACUUGGCAUUUAUAUAUAUAUAUAUAUAUAUAUAUAUAUAUAUAUAGAUUAAUUUCAUAUAGAUUUCUAUAAAUAUAGCAAAUAACAAAAAUAGAUUCAUAUAAAAUUUAACUUUCAUAUAUUGUUCUUGUAAUAAUCUUGAUAUUUUCAAAUAUGUCAUAAUGAUUUUUACCGUUAGAGAAUUAUUAGAGAAUCAUUUAUGCUUUUAAUUUUGCCAUCACAAAUAUAUUUCUCAAAAAAUAAUAACAGGAUAAUAUAAAAGGAUAAAAAUGUCAAAAAUUAACCAAAGUUAAGUAUUUAACUUAUGGUUAACUAAAAUUUUCUAACGGAUUCUAACAACAUAAAUAUAUUUGAAAACAUAAGGACUUUUUGUAGGGACAACAUGUGAAAGUUGAACUUUAUAGAAAUAUAUUUAUUAUUCACUAUGUAAGUUGAAUUUUGUAGGAAUAUAUUUGUUAUUCACUAUAUUUGUAGGAAUAUGUAUAAAAUUAAUCCUAUAUAUAGAGGGGAAAACUUCAAAUACCACUUCGGUGGUUUUGCACUUUUUUAUUUUAGUAUCUUGUGAUUUAAAAUGUAUCAAUUUAGUACCCCAUUAUUUUACUUUUCUUUUUUUAUUAUCUCUUUCACUAAAUUUUUUUAUUAAAUCAAUGACAAAAUUAAAACUAAAAAGUAUUAGAUUGAAUAUUCAAUAAAUCUAUGGGGGUAUCUAAAAUUUUUUAUAUAUAAUUUAAUAAAAUAUUAACGGAGGGACCGGCAGAAAGAAAAUAUAUUGAAAUCAUAGAAUACUAAAUUGAUACAUUUUAAACCAAAUAAUACUAAAGUGAAAAGUGUGAAAUUAUAAGAGUGGUAUUUAAAAUUUUCCCUAUAUAGAGAGAGAGAAUGGCAUCUUUUGGAAAUCGCCAAAUCCAAUUACACCUCUCUCUCUCUCUCUCUCUAGAUCUAUGUGCUCUGCUAAUAAAGGCCGAUCCAGCUAGCGAAGAACUGCGGGUAAAUUAACACCAAACCCCAAAAGGAAAAACAAAAAAAAAAAACAUAAAAUAAAACAGAUUCAAAAAUUAUUCCCCCUUCUCUUUUUUAUUUACCUGUCUCUCUUGAAACCCGAGAUCGCUCUCUCUCUCUCUCUCUCUCUCUCUCUCUCUUUUAUUGACCGGGAUACGAGUGAAUCUAUGCGCCGUCCUCGGUCUCCGCGCCGGGAACCGCGACGGCCAAUCAUGGGGCGCCACGUAAGCGGGGCUGCGUUUGGCGGGCUUUUUCGGCUUACGUGGAGGGUUGUUGUUUGCGAAAGCGUACGGAGAAGAGUCGUCGUGACCCAUGCAUGCGUUUCUUUAAAAGAUGCGUCCACACCACACCACACCACACCACACAACCCUGGUGGCCACGUCCAUCAUGAUUCAUAUAACUUCGAACAUGUUACUGUUACUACUGUUACUGUCGUGUAAUGCGAGCCAUUUAAAUAUCAAAAUAAAAUAAUUUAAUAAUAAUUCGUUCUGUAUAAAGAUGUUACGAGCUUUUUUGUCUUGUUUUGUUUUUUUUUUUUUGCUCCUUAAAAUAUAUUGGCAUUCGUAAUUUGGUACAACAUGUUGCUCAGUGUUGGAGGCUAAACGUAUUUUUUAUUUUAAAAAUUUGAUCACGCUCUUAAUUUUUUUGAGUAAAUAAAAAAGGUCAAAUAGGACUAGUGCGAUUAGGAAUAAUAUUCGUAUAUUGGAUGCAAAUGUAAUAUAUUAACCUAUAGGGUAUUUUAAUCUAAUAAUUUAAGUUUUUGGAUUGGACCUGAGCCAUUUAAUAUUGUGUAAGUGCUAAGCGUCGAAUCACAGUGGGUUGGGACGGAGAGCUUAAGCUUUUUGGUUGGGCCUCGACAAGCUUUUACAUGUUAAGAGAUAGUGUUUGGAUAGGGUACAAGAGGAGAGAUAUAUAAGGUCUUAUUCCCCUCUUGUAUCAAAACAAUAUUUUGGGUGGGUGACCGACUGUUCCUAAAGCAAGUGGCAAAGGGCUUGGUGGUUGGUACUUGAGACCCAAGUUCGAAUCCUAGUUGAUUCACAUUUCUAGUUAAAUUUAUUUCUAAAUGAAAUAAACGAAACGGGUAGCGUGCUACCUAUCUCUCAAAAAAAAAAAAAAAAAAUUGGGUGGGUGGGAAACUAUAAGUUCUCAUCCAUAGAGGGUUAUUCUGGAAGAUAAAAGAAAAAAGGAGAUGGAAGGAUGUGGCUGCGAGGGAGAGAAAGGAUUUUACUAAGAUAAAAAAGAGUAGGAAAAAAAUUAGAACAAUAGUGGAUCCCACUACCCUCAAAAAAAGGUGGUACAUUCAUAUUGGAUUUGGUCAUGAUAAAUCAUGUAUAGGUAUAGAUAGAUAUAAUAAUAAAAUUUGUAAAAAUAAAUGACUCAUCAAAAUUAAAUAAAGUAAAAGAUUAGAUAGUAUAAUUUUAAAAGAUAAAUAGUUAGAUCAAAUUAAAUUACAAUCUGUAUUUGGAAAUAAAUUCAGCUAAAAUUAUGAAAUAAUUAGGCUUCAAAUUUGGAACCUCGGAUACUAACUAUAAGCCCUUAUGAAACAGAUAAAGAGCUAUUUAGUUGCAAAUAGUUGUAACUGUACUGCAAUUAUAAUUACAUGCAGAGUCAAAUUCGAUGUUUUGCUUAACGCAAUUAAAUCCAACUACUACAGUUGGAACUGCAUUAGGAGACUCAAUUGCAACAAUUAUAACUGCAUCCAAAUUAGUUGUAGUUUCAAUUGCAGCAAUUAAAAAGAAUAAUUUUAAAUAAAAAAUAACCUUAUCUCUCUAAGUACUUGUUAAACAAAAUUUAUUUUUUCAUAUUGAAAAUAAUCUCGCCAUCCAUGCAUAUGCAAAAUGAUAAAAUUGCGUAAAUACAUUUCUCAAAUAUAUGCAUUAAUUUAGUCAAAUUAUUUAUUAUUGCAUCGUUUUUUACUAUCUUCAAUCAAACUAUAUAUAUAAAUACAGUUAAAACUGAAUAUAUUUUUAGAUACAGUGCAUUUAUAUUAAGGAUUAAUUUUAUAUGGGUCCCUGCACAGAUAUGAAAUAGCAAAUAUGGUUCUAUAAAACUUAAAAAAUCAAAUUUAUCCUUUCACAAUUUCUCUAAUUUUCAAAUAUAUCUCUCCAAAAGUUCCAGUUCAUUCAUAUAUGUCUCCACCUUUUGGUUCAUCGCUAGUUUUUUAAUGACAAGAUCAUAAAAUGACUAUUUAUCCUUACAAAAUUGUUCAUGCAAAAAUUAUUUUUUCUCUCUCUCCUUGCUUUCACCGUGGCAUGUGUAGUGUACCUCAUUUUCGCCGCGACCAACGGUCUCGUCUUCAAUGUUGCUGCUGUCAUAAGUCUUGCCGUCACCAUGAAUAAAAAGGACAUGGUGAGAAAGAUGAUGGGACUCUAACAUUGAAAUAUAAAUUAUAUAUAAGGGGGACAAAAAUUAUUUUAACUCUUAACUAACCAUGGUUAGUAUUUUAACUCAUGGUUAUCUAAAUUUUGGCAACAGAACGAUAUAUUUGCAGACGAAAGGACUUUUGGAGGAAUAAAUCCGAUAACUUAAGUUUCGUAGGAAUAUAUUUAUUAUUCGAUAUUUUUGCGAGGAGCUAUAUGUAAUUAUCCUUUAUAUUUACGAGCAGCUAAACAGAUCCUAAUAAGUGUAGUAGAUAAAAUAAAAAAAUUAUAGUUUAUGGAUCAGAUAAUUUGUACUGGACACAUAUAUGAUAAUGGCGUGAUGUGAAAUGAGUGUGAAGUGGGCCCCACGGGCUUCGGCCCACAUACCAAUCUAUUUUCGCACGUAUCGACGCCGCCAGCAGCAACGGCUGCUUUCUUUUAGAAAAGAAAAAACGGGCAGAUCAAAUCUGAUCUGAAGCAGAGCCGAAACCGAGAUUGACCCGCGCCUCGGGCCGUGGGGAAAGUACUACUGUUAAUAGUAAAAAAAAGAAGUGCACGGAGAAUGGGUUUGGCGCAUCUGGGCUUGGUUUAAGCUUUUUUUUUUUUUGGUAAAAAUAUAUAAAAAUUUACUUAAAAUAUGAACUAUUUUGAUUUGGCUAUACAAUUUUAAAAAGUAAAAUUAAAAUUUUACUUUUCAAAUUUUAAAUCUGUUUGAUUUGGGUCAGUCAACGGUAUUUUUUGAUUCAAAAUUUGUUGAGUAUAUUUCAUGCAAUUUAUUAAAGUAAGUAAUUAGCUUCAUUUUGAAGUUAAAAUAUUGUUGACCGACUUAAAUCAAAUAAAUUGAAAUGUUGGAUAAUAAAAUCAAAAUUUUGAAACAUUGAGUAGUUGAUUCAAAAUGACUCAUAUAGUUAAGUUUUGUAAGUUUUUGCUUUAAAAUUAUCUGUUUUAUGUUUCGAAAGGUCUAAAAAGUUUGAAAGUUCUCUCAAUCUUUCAAUCUUAAUAUUGUAAAAUUUUGUGGGAACUGCCGUCGGAGAAUCAAUAUUAUAUAUACCUCUUGUGCAGUUUGUGUCACAAUUUUAUAGCGGAGAAGAAAAAACAAAAGUGUUUCUGAAUUUUUGUAACCUUAACUUCAAAUAAGCCCUUAGAAUAGAUAAAUGUGGACUUUGUACUCUUUCUAGGGUUUAUGGACUGGACUUAUGUGAACAAGGCCUUUUGUAUUGUACUGUAAUAAGGGGCUUAGUUUUUAUAUAUUUAUUGGAUCUUUCAAGGGCCGAGGAUGUAGUGCAUAUUUAUCCCUUCUAUUGUUGUACCUGGGCGGUGUGUGGGAGUCUCUACGCACAGAGGCCAUCGCGCCGCUCAUUAGCAGCAGUAUGAAUUCACAAUGUGAACUGUAUGAGAUUUCGCUACUGAUUAAUGAGUGGCAAUAUCAAACCCCUACGAACGGAUUCCUACGAGAAAAACCUAAAAUGUAGCCCUUUAUUGCCAAUAACUGGGAUCUGAUAGGUGGCUUGUUUCUAUCUUCUGAAUAUUUGUAAUGGUUGUGUUUGUAUCAUCAAGCUCUUGAUUGAACAUGGCCCAGAGCCCCAUGGGCUUGUUCUCGAAUGAAAUUCAUGUAAGAGAACAAGAAGAUUUAAAAGCUAGCUGUAGAAUGCCCACCACUACUAGAGAAGGAUUCUAAGAUAGGGAGUGUUUGGUUGAACAUAAAAAGGUUUUUCGUUAAAAUAAAAGUUUCGGUGGAAUUUUUUUUUUUUUUUUUAUGUUUUGUAGUAUUUGAUUUGUAGAAAAAAAUAAUAUAUAUUUUUUUAUCAACAUUUGUUUGGUGGAAAGAAAAACAAAUCUACAAUUGUUUGGUUCAGCAAAAAAAAUAAUGAAAAUUUUUUUAUGCGGCUUGAGUUUUCGUUUUUCGUCGAUUUUUGGCGAAAAAUGAAAAAAAUCCAUUUUUAUCAAAUCUAUAAAAAUAGUUUUUUGAAAAAAAAAAUUUACGGCUAAACAAACACACGAAAAAAAAUUUUCAAGCCAAAAGUAAUUUUUAGUAUAUUUUACGACCAACCAAACACGCUAUUGCUAGAAUACUACUAGAAGUAAAUUAAAUAUGAAAGGUGUUUACUUUGGCAUUGUUUCCGGCGAAGGGGCAUCCUAAUUGAAUUGGCACUAUUAAAUAUUAAAUAUGAUCUAUACUACUUGGCAUAAUAAGACUUCAAUUUUCUAAUUUUCUGACAUCCUUUGUCUCGCGAACAAGUGGUUUCAAAUUCAACAUAUAUUAGCCAUUAAAAGAAAUCAAUUUUGAGACCACUUAAAUAAUAAUAUUAAUUGGCGAGUUCCUGAUGCAGUGUCAGCAAUUCUAAUAUUAGUCUUCUAAAUAAGGUAAAUAAAAAGUUGAAAAUUUUUCAGAAACAUAUAAGCAAUUGCCCUUCUAGAUAAUAGUGUCAGCAGUGUCAGCAAAGCAGUGUCAGCAAUUCCUCAAAAUAAAUAUAGAAGAGUAGUCAAACCAGAAAAUGUAGCAAUUCCUCAAAAUAAAUGAAGCAAAGCAUUUUAUUGGAUCAUAUGGGCAAAUGAUUCACAGUAGUGCUAUACUGUACACAUGCAUGAAUAUGCUAAGAUGUUGUUAGGUGAAGCAUAGACUAUGGAUCUAACCAGUGUGUUCUAAAUUCUACCUACAAUAGGACUUCCAACAUUGCAAAAUUAAUUAGAUAGAAGAAAUGAGCUCUUCAUAAUAAUAAUGUUACAGUGUUUUCUGCUACUGACCAAUUACACUAGACUAAUCCUAUUUCUUGCUUGACUAGAAAGCCACUUUCUUCUGCAUCAUACAGAAGCUCAGUUUUUGUGCUCAAUAACAGUUGUAUCAAAAAAUGAAGGAUUUGAUUAGUAGAUAAAGUAAUGCCUCUUACAUGCACAAAACAGGGAGAGCGAGAAAUAUUUGAGCAAGAAAAUAAUCUACAUUAGUCAUGCCAGGUCAGAACAUAAAUCAAUUGAUAUAUCGUGUGAUCGAACUACAAAAAUUUGGCUAUACACAGAUCUAUAUGCAAACGAAUGCAUGCAAAUUGGUCGUGGCACGGUUCAGCCAUAUUUGGUAGCCUAUAAAUCAAUGUAAGAAAUGCAGAUAUGACAUCCUUAUCUAAUAAAGAUGACAUGCAAUUACUGUUCUGUUCAUUUAUAUGAAUAGCUAUCAACAAGUAAUAUCAAGAAACAUUAAAUUACAUUAACCUCAACUCAUUUCAUAUUUGUUCUCUUUCAGAAUAGCAGAUGAGACAAUUUGAUCCGUUUUGAAUCCCAAUCGAGAAAAUGAAUACCCAAUAAAGAAGAAGAAAACAGCAACAAUGGAAAUGUGCUGUACACAGGUUUCCAUUGCUUUUUUGCAAUUUUAUAAUAACCACUAUGAUUUAACUAAUGGUCAUCUUCUAUAUGACAUUAAAUGCAGUCAAUGGAGUGUAUCUUCAUUCAAAGGAUUAUUACACAUUAGCUCAAAAACUUCAAUAGCAUGAGAACAUUCCGACAAAAAUAUCUAUAUAUCUAUAGAAGAGUAAAUGAGGUUAAAUCCAACUGAUUUUUGUCUCUAUUCAUCAAAAUAAAUUUAGUUCAUCAGGCAUAAAUAGGUCAAUCAGAAAUUUCUGGGGUCACUUGAUAAGUAAAUAAGGUUAUUCAAGUCUGAAUUAACCUCAUUUUAGAUCGAACUGAUAUUUCUUGGAAUAAUUAAAUAGGCUAGCCAGACAUCUUUUUCUAUGAAGCCUUCAAUAUGACAACCACCCCAUAACUUAUGAAGUUUAAGGUUAAGGGAACAUUCUUGAUUCUUAAGAUCUCACACCAAAAUGUAUUCUUAUAUUUACAAUCUAAUCUAUCCUCAAAAAUAAUUUCCAAGCAAGAAAAUUAGGAUAUGACCAAUAUUUGAAGCAGAAUUCUAGCCAAACUGUAAUUCAGAUAUCUCCUACACUUCAAGCUCUUGUUCUUCCCGUACUCUAGGUAGCGAACAACUUUGAAAACAAAUGUCUACUGAAUUUACAUCUUAUAAGACUAACAUACAUCACAUCUUUCCAGAAUCAAGCCUUUUGAAAAUAAAGAAUUAGACAAAAUUCUAAGCAUUGUACUAAAUUUUACGCAACCAGACAUAAAAGAAUAGGUAUGACCGUAUGAAAUAAGAUGAUGUCCUUUCCAUUUACUUUUCUACAUGCAACAUGACUGAUAGCUAGCGGAUCACCAACCUGGAAGAACAUUUAAGUCAUGGUGGCAAUUGCUCACCAUUUCUGCCAUCUGGAAUGUUCAGGAUUUCAGUCUUGUUGCAUUUCUUCAGAAAUCUCCAAAAUCUAGCUCAUUCAGAUAUUUGAUGGUUCCCUCCAUCCGCCAUGGAAUAUUCAAAUCAUAUUCUGAACAUUAAAGCUCUUCUUGGGUCUUUUAUGGAAAUCAAGCUCCUUUUUGGAAAUAGAAUAGCUAAUCAAGCAGCUGAUUGUCUAGCCUAUUAUAGUAGAACUGGAUAAUCUGUCUUUGAGAGGACCACUUAUUAGGCUCACCUGAUCUUAUCCGUGUAUUGGAGAGAGAGCUUAGCGUUUUUCAGAUACAGGCUGCUUUCUUUGUAAUCUGUUUCUCAAUAAAGCAAUCUUGCUUCAUCAAGGAAAAAUGCCUGAAAUCACAUACCAAAAGCACAAACUUCAACUUCCUAUUUCAUAUGCUCUACUGACCUUGGAUUUAUAUAUGCAAUUUUUGCAUAUAUUGGUUUCAAUCGCUCACUAAUGGUUGCAGUGCUUAGAUUUUUGGCUCACAGGGCAUCAAUUUAUUCCGUCACACAAUGAAACUGCUCAAAAAAACAUCACAUGGGAGCCAUUUCCAAGUAUUUCACUUUUGGUUGGCACUAUAUUUUCAUUUGUAUGAUUCCCUGAAGUACUUCUGAAAUAUGAUAGUUAACAUCUAUGUAAAAUUUGCGGAAAGAAAACGUCAGUUAUAAGUGAAUCGACAUUCACAAACACGGAAUUCACUGUGAUGAUAUGAAAUUCGCUAUUGGACAUCAAAAGCAACUGUGGCUGUUUUUCCUGCACCAGGCUAAGCAGUAAACUAUAAAUUACAGAGAAAUUGCUAAUUAUGAUCUCCACACACCUGCAUCAAGUGGUACUACUAGUUCAGCAUAUAUCAACAUAAAAACUGCGAAGAUCAAAGCUUUUUAUGCAAGCUGAAACUAAUGACUAGUUAAUCGUCUAAUAUGGUCUGCAAGUUCCCCUCCCUUCUUCACUUGACCAGAUUUUCCACUAAUCUUUCUUCUUUUCAUUCUUUGUGCGCACAUGUGCAUGUGAAAGACUAUUCCACUCCUCAUAUCCUAGGUAGGUCAGAGAAAGAGUUUUACAUCUGCUUAAGUCAAGUUCGUAACAGGAAAUUGCUACAAUCUUCCCCAACAAAGAAAUUAAUCUACACCAUGGUUAUGUAGGCUGCAUUCUUUUGUCUGUUUUAAGGCUUCAUCUAUAUUUCUGAAAGCACAGAACUACAACAUGAGUACGUACUUAAAUAACAUGAUUGAAAUACCUUUCCACCUACUGUAGCUUCGUACGUAGCGACUGAUUGCAAGUAAACAGAGAAUUCUCUAGCAUGAAGUGGAAGCAGCAAGUGAUUGGUUGAUUAGGUGCUGAAGAUAAAGAAUGCGAAAAGGCAAUCAAAGUAGAAAGAAGAUGGUAUUGUGUGCAGGAAGGAAACCUUUCCUCUAAGGCUCACGGUGAAUAAAAAGGAGAAGCUAUAAUCAUACAAACCAUGAAAGCCCAAAGCUAUCGCCAUCUAAAAGCGCAUGUAAGUGGGUGAUAUUUGCUGCGAAAACAAUCCACGAAACAGAUAGAUAGAUACCUGCACUCCAUAGAUCAGAUAAUCCUGAAAGAAUUCUUAUUCAGUUAAGAUUACACCUGGUAAUCAAACCACAAAAGAUGGUUAAAGAAUUCAGCAAAUUACAGCAGACGGGUAUGGGGUAAGCUAAUAGUAUCGACAAGAACUGAGAUAAGAAACUCAAACACGGCCUACUCGACGAUUCAUAAGCGACUCUAUUCCUGAAACUUUUCACGCUAUAAAGUACAAGAAUAACAAGGUGACACCAACAACAGACAGCUGAUUUUAAAAUGCAAGCAAACAGAUUCAGAUAAAGGGAGGAGUGCAGGAACUCGAACACCCCAAUUGAUUGAUGAUGGCCUUAAGGAAAGAGCCUACUACUAACCGGAUCUCCACAGUUGACGAUAAAUUGGACCUAAAUUCCUCCUCAUCCUCUUUUUUGUUUGCUUGGGGGGAGGAGGUUUCUGGUUUUUGGUUUUUGGUUUUUUGGUUUUUUGGUUUUUGGGCGGCGCCAGGGGGGAUCCGAUCUUACUGAGACGGAAUUCCAUCAACUAUCGGAACAGGGUAUCUGUGGAUGCAGUCGUCCCAGGGGUUGUUGGGGGAGGGCUUGACGUUGCGGAGGGCCUGCCAGACGGCGCUGUUGCACUUGAAUCCGCUGCCGAAGGCGAUCUGCCAGAUCUUGUGGCCCUUGCGGAUGCGGCCCUUGGCCUCGAUGUAGGCGAGCUCGUACCAGAUGGAGCUGGAGGAGGUGUUGCCGAAGCGGUGGAGGGUCAUGCGGGAGGCCUCGACGUGGAGGGGCCGGAGCUGGAGGUUCUUCUCGAGCUCGUCGAUGACGGCGCGGCCGCCGGCGUGGAUGCAGAAGUGGUCGAAGGCGAGCUUGAAGUCGGGGAUGUAGGGCUUGAUCUUGGCGUUGAAGAGCUUCUUGGCGACGAGGGUGGCGAAGAAGAGGAGCUGCUCGCUGACGGGGAGGACGAGGGGCCCGAGGGUGGUGAUGUUGGCCUUGAGGGCGCCGCCGGCGAUGGCCAUGAGGUCCUUGGAGAGGGAGACGCCCACCUUGCCCUGCUCGUCCUGCUCCUGGUACACGCACCGGAAGGCCGUGUCGUCGGCGCCGCGGUGGGUGCGCACCACGUGCACCAGCCGGAACUUGGCGCGCCGGCGCUCGGCGGCGCGGUUGGAGAGCAGCACGGCGGCACCCCCCAUGCGGAAGAGGCAGUUGGGGAUGAGCAUGGACUUGCGGUUGCCGAAGUACCAGUUGAGCGUGAUGUUCUCCGAGCUGACGACGACGGCGUAGGUGGCGCCGUGCACCUGCAGCAGGUCGCGCGCGAGGUCGACGGCGAUGACCCCCGCGCUGCAACCCAUCCCGCCCAGGUUGUAGCUCCGGAUGUUCCCCCGCAGCCGGUACCGGUUCACGAUCAUGGCCGAGAGCGACGGCGUCGGGUUGAAGAGGCUGCAGUUCACCACCAGCACCCCCACGUCCUUGGGCUUGAUCCCCGUCGCGCGGAACAGGCUGUCCAGCGCGCCGAACAUCACCUGCUCCGCCUCCGCGCGCGCGUUCGCCAUCGACGGCCGCGGCGGCACGCAGUGCAUCGCCGCGGGCACGUACGUCUCCUCGCCCAGCCCGCUGCGCUCCAGGAUCUUGCCCUGGAACUCCAGCGCCGCAUCGCUGAAGCCGCAGAGCGCCGAGUGCUCCAUGAACGCCCGGUACGGCGCCUGCAGCUCCCUGGGGGGAACGUAGCAGGCGUAGUCCACCAGGUACACCGGCCGCGGCCGCGUCAUCAUGUACAGCGUCGACCCGAACACCAGCAGCGCGAUCAGCGCCAGCACGCUCACCAGGUUGUACUGCAGGUGCACCCACAGCUGCCGCAGCUCGUCCGGGUCCGUCCGCCCGGCCUCGAUCACGAUCACCACCAUCAGCGGGAUCAGCGUCAGCGUCAGCAGGUGCGUUAUCAGGUAGUGGUACCCCAGCUUCACGUACUUCAAAUUCACGCUCUGCAAGAAGUCCGGAAGCCGCCGGCUCGCCGACAUCUCCCGCCGCGCAGACUGCCCUCCUCCUCCGCCUCCUCCUCCGUCUCCGUCUCUGUCCCCGCCCCCGCUGCUCAUCUUCCUUCCUUCCUUCCUUCCUUCCUCCUCCCUUAUUAUUAUUAUUAUGAUUAUAAACCUGAAGCAAACCAAACCAAACCAAAAAAAUUCAAAACCCCGAGCGGGUUAGGAAAAUUGUCGCUAAAUAAAUAAAUAGUCCCCUCCCCUCUUCUUUCGCUGUCGAGAGACGAGUCAACCGGGCGACUCUUGAAGCUUCGGAGUUGCUUCCCUACACGUCUCUCUACACGAACCACUAAAACAAUUUAUUUAUUUAUUUGAAGAAGAAGGGGGCAAGUGUUUCGAAUCAAGUUAAAUAAAAAUACUGGAGGAGUUAGAAAUCGCAGGGAUGAGGUAAAUUAAUUGUUGUGGGGGUGGUGUAGCCGCCGCGGUGCCAGUAAGCAAUCAGAAGCUGCUGGGUUGUUGCUAUCAGGCGAAGGGUUUUGGGGGCGGCGCGCACGGAGGGGAAGAGGGGAAGAGGGGAAGGGAAAGAGGGAGGAAGAGAAAGGGAGAAAAGACAGAGAGAGAGAGGCCAGGAGGGAAUCAAAAGGGGCCGAACAUACGCGAAUGCGAACAGGCUGUCGUCCCUCGUGGUGAGUAGGAAAAUCCUACGCCGUUUCCGAGAGAAACCCAAAACGCAGCCCAGAUGGGUUAGCCUUCUGUUGAGCGAGCUCCCGUUGGGUUACCUCCAAGUCUACCCGAGAUAUUUGAAGUUGUUUGUUCUGACUUGUGAGGGUUCCACUAAUGAUUAAAAAAAAAAAAGAAGAUUGUUUAUGUAAAAAAGUCAUGUAUGCUUUUCUUGCUACAGUUUUUGGUCUAAUGAUAUCAGAUUAAUUAAUAUAGUAAAUCAUGCGAUGCGACGGAUAGAUAAUUAAAAAAUAAAAUAAAAAACGGUGAUAAAGAAAGAAGAAAUAACGGUGGAAGAAGCGAAAAUAACGGGGGAGAUUCAUCAAGGUAAUAGCCGAAUGAAGUGGAAGAGGAACACUCAGCCAAUGCAGAGGUAUGACCCGGAUCGGUUCAAGAAAAAAAAAAGAGAAAAAUUCAAUUUUGUUCAAACAAAGAAAGAAAAAAAAAAAUGUAAAGGUUUUAAGCCAGUUCAGAAAAGCCUACACUUAAUAAUGAUUAGUUUGGUUCAAACAAAAAAAAAGAGAAAAAUUCGGCUCAGUUCAAGUAAAAAAAAAAAAAAGAAGGAGAACUUGAGCUGGUUUGAGAUGGAUGAAUAUAUCUCAAAUCAUCUUAGAGCUUGUUUAGAUGUAUAAAUAUCUUAUUAGGUAUAUUUUCUUAAUUUACUUAAAAAAUUUAUACAUUUGAUUGAUAAGAAGUAUGGUCAAAUAAUUAAAAUAAAAUAUUAUAUUCAGACUUCAAAUCAGUUUUUAAUUAAAUAAAUUCUCUAAUAUAUAAAUUAUACUAUCUUAUCAAAUUAUAGAUGACAAACUUCUUUUAAAAUAAUUAGAAAUUAAACUCCUUGCUUACAAUCCAAUAGAGCCUCAAGCUACCUAUGAAAUCCAAUUUCCAAUAGUCCUAGAAUAUUUUCCUUUUUUUUUCCCUGAAAAGUGUGAUACUUAGGUUACCCGUUUGGUCCGUGGAUAUCGGAUAUUGAUAUAAACUUUUUUAUUCUUGAAAUAGCUUUAUUUUUGGAUAGUUAAAAAUAAAAACAAAAUUGUAUUUGAUUUGUAAUUUUACUAUUCUCGAGAAUAAUUGAAAUUGUAUUUUGUUAAUUUUAUGGAAUAAUAUAGAAAAGUAAAAAAAAAGUGAUAAUUGAAUUUAAUAUAAAAUAUAAUUUAAUAAAAAUAAUUUGUUAUAAAAAUAUUUUAUUGUAAAAAUAAUUUAUUAUAAUAUUAAUAAAAAUAAUUUAUUAUAAAUUAUGAUUUAAUAAAAAAAUUUUAUAAAAUAUUUUUUUUAAAAUUCUACUCAAAUUUAAAUGUAAUAAAAAUAAUUUAUUAUAAUAUUUAAGUAUAAUUUACUAUAGUAAUUUAUAAUAAUAUUUAAAUAUAAAUAAUACGUAUUAAUAAAGUACAAUUAAUAAUUUUAUAAUAAAAUAAUUUAUUCUAAAUAUUUUUUAGUAUGUUUUUAUUACUUACUUUUAAUUUAAUUUAUAAUUUUAGUAAAGCUUGGAAUAAUACCAUUCCAUCAAAAGAUGGAAUAUUUAUCCAAUUUAUUUCGGAAUAAUCGAAAAUAGUGAGAUUUGACUGGAAUAAAAUUAUUUCGCCAAAAAAAUAUUUCGUUUGGUGGAAUAGUGGAUAAUUUUUAUUUAGGGUUAUUUCAUACAGGUAUGUACAAAUAUAAUGAAUUGCAAAUAUAUCUUUAUAAAAUUUAAUUUCAUAUAUUAUACUUGUAAAAGUUCUAAUAUUUUCAAAUAUGUUCUUCUGAUAUGUUACUGUUAAAAUAUUAUUUAUUUUAUAAAUAGAAUGAUUUUUUUGCCAUCAUAAAUAUAUUCUUCCAAAUUAGGAGGGAUAAAAAGGUCAAUUUACCUUAUUAACAGACUAGAGUUAAAUUUUUUAUUUAUAAUUAAAUAAUUUUUUUCUAACGGAUCUUAACAAUACGGACAUAUUUGAAAAUAUCAAAAUUUUUAUAAAAAUAAUAUAUGAAACUUGAAUUUUAUAAAAAUAUAUUUAUAAAUUAUUAUAUUUACAAAGACCAGUAUAAAAUUAACUCUUUUUAUUAUCCUAUUUUAUCUGGGAAUCUAAGGAGGGCCAUAGGGUACGGUUAUGAGUACGCCAAAUUUUUCUGCGAGCAGCUUAUCCUGUGGAUCAAUGCUAUUAUGCCAACCACUCCACUACAAUCACACACGAGAACGAUCCGAGAGGAGAGCGAAAAUUUCGCGCCACGUGUCGAGCCCCGACCUAAAAUAUCAAACUAGAGGACGCGAAUGACACCGCCCCUAACUGCAGACUCAUUGUCAUCAUCGCCGUUCGUUCGUUAAUCCUCGCACCGUUAGAUCAUCAAUGGGAAACGGUCAAUUUUUAGUGGCAUCACACGGAGAGACAGAAAUUCAAAGGGUAAGCGAUUCUAUUAUGCAUCACAUUAUUAUUUAUUAAUAGUUAAUUUUAGGCUAAAUUAUAUAAAAUCGUUUUGUUAAAAUUUGAAUUUUUACUUUUUUUUUUUGUCAUUUAAAAAUCUACACUUUGCCCAUUUUUAAAAUAAAAAAUAUUCACAGAAGAAUACGAUGUGAACUGUAAUGACAAAAUGAUCAUUUUAUUCUUCACAAUUUUCAUCUUCUCCCUCAUCUUGCUCAUUUGCCGCCUCUAUUGACCGCAGUUCGCACAUCGAUCGGCCGCGGUUCUUCUCCAUUUUCUUCUCCACUUGCUUCCCUUCUCCUCUUGCAUCCUUAUUGCCCCUUCAUUUCAGCAACAGUAGGAAGAAAAUCGAGAUAGGCGUGGAUAGAAAGGUAGGCAAGGGUAAGGAGGGCGAAGGCCAUGCGGCGGAGGAGGGCGAGGAGGUGUUUGUCGGCGCGGACGGAGAUGUGGGUGAAGACGAGGCAGUGAAGAAGGGCGAGGCAGCGAGGCGGAAGAGAGCGAAGCACAGUAGAGAGUGCGGAGGGUAUUUUUGGUAUAAAAAAAUAUUUUAUAAUAGAACCCUAAUGACAAGGGGUGAAAUGAACAUUUUUUAUUUUAUAAGAUAACAAAGUGUAGGUUUUUAAAUGACGGAGGGGGAAUGUGAAAAAUCAGGUUUUUGACAGAGGAGUUUAAGAAAAAUAAUCCGAUUAAUUGAUGACGUUGCAUCAACAAUAUAAUUUAGGAUAAACUUCAAAUACUACUGUAAUUUCGCACUUUCUUACUUUAGUAUCUCGUAAUUUUUUUUUCAUCAGCACAUUCAUUAACUCUCCGUUAAAUUAUAUAAAAAAAACUUCAGAUACUCUAUUUAUAAAUAUUCACUUUUGUACCAUGUGGUUUACCAAAUUUUACUUUAGUACUUUGUGGCUCUAACUUUAUUAACGGAAAAAAUAAUGAAAAGAAAGGUAUAAAAUUAUAUAUUUUAAAUUGUAGAGUAUUAAAAUAAAAAAGUGGAAACUAUGAAAAUGAUAAUAUUUAAAGUUUUUUCUAUAAUUUAUGUAUUCUAGAUUUUUUUUUUAAGGAAAAAUUUCAAAAACCCCCCAGUGGUUUCGUAGUUUCUCACUUUGUCCCCCUGUGGUUUAAAAUGCAUCAAUUUGCCCCCCUAUGGUUUCGUUUUUAUCUUUUCGGUAGCUUUUUCGUCAAUAUUUUAUUAAAUUAUAUACAAAAAACUUCACAUAUCCAUUUAGAUUUAUCAAAUAUUCACUUUAGUACCCUUUAGUUUUAACUUUAUCACUGAUUUAAGAAAAAAAAAUAAUAAAAUUGAUAAGAAAAAGAGAAAAAGAAAUCACAAGGGGGCAAAUUAAUAUAUUUUAAAUCACAGAGGGGCAAAGUGAGAAACUACGAAAUCACAGGAGGGAUUUUUGAAGUUUUUUCUUUUUUUAAACUAGGAUGCGUCUUCUAGAAGAAGGUGAGAAUCUUUGAGAUCUUGGAUCCGGUGCACCAGUGGCCGUCGGUGGUCUACUUUUCCUUGAACUGUAUAGUAUCAAACUAUCAAUCCACCGUCCAAAUAAAUAGUUUUCUGAUUGAAAAUUUGAAACAACAUUUUUUUUUUUUUUUGGAAGGUUGUGAUUGGAUGAUAUAGGCCGUAGGGAAAGGUGAAUUGCUGGAUGGUGCUAAUAUUUUUUUUUUUUUUUUAUGGGUUAAUUGCAUCAGGUCUUCUCGAGUAUAGUAAAUUAUAAAUAUAUUUUUAUAAAAUUUAACUUUUAUAAAUUAUUGCUGUAAAAGUUGUAACAUUUUCAGAUAUGUCAUUGCCGUUAGAAUCCGUUAGAAAAAUUUAGUUAACCAUAAGUUAAAUACUUUAUCCUGAUUAAUUUUUGACAUUUUUAUCCCUUUUAUAUUAUACUAUUAUAAUUUUUGGAGAGAUAUAUUUGUGAUCGCAAAAUUAAAAAUAUAAACAUGUUUCUAACGGUUCUCUGACGGCAACAAACCAGAGGAACAUAUAUGAAAAUAUUAGGAUUUUUACUGUAAUAACUUAUGAAAGUUAAACUUUCCAGAAAUAUAUUUAUAGUUCACUAUAUUUGCGGGAACCUGUAUGCAAUUAACUCUUUUUUUAUUAUAUUAAAUUUUUUGGGUAAAUAUAAGAUUGGAAUUAACUCUAAACCUCUUCUGUUUGAAGAUUCGUCAAUUCAAUUCUCUGCAUCCAACUUUUAAGAGGUGUUACCGACCGUCACUAGAGCAAGUGGCAAAGGAUUUAGUGGUUGGUACCCGAGACCCAAGUUCGAAUCCUGGUUGAUUCACAUUUUUAGCUAAGUUUAUUUCUAAAUAAAAUAAACAAAGCGGCUAGCAUGCUACCUAUCUCUAAAAAAAAAAAAAAACUUUUAAGAGGUGUUCGGUUUUUCAAAAAAAGUGCAAAAUCUAAUUUUAGAGAUUUUUUAAAAAUAGAAAUAAUGCCUUUGUCCAUAAUUUUAUUUUUCGGAUAAAAUAUUUUGAAAAGAAAAUUACUAUUUUUCAUAAAAUCUAAAAAAAAUUGUUUUUUAGAAACCAAAUGAACAAAAGUAUUUUUUCAACUAGAAAACUAUUUUCUUUAAGAAAUGAAUUGCAAAAACAAUGCCAAAUAGUGGGAUGAGAAUAUAUUUAAUUUGUUUUUGUGAGUAAUAACAUGCCGCACAUGUUGUAUUGAUUCAGUUAACAUAUAAUUUCUAUAACGAAAAUACAUAUUGCCCCCUAAUGCCAGGUAAGUCCAAUGAUUAUUGUUUUGUUUAUCAAUACAGUUUAGAUGAAUUACGUGAACUACGUGAGAGAAGUGCUACGAUUAUUUUGAUGCACAGGUUAAGAAACAUUUUGGACAGCUCGAAGCCUAAAAGCGAGAAACUUGCGAGAUUUUAUGAACCGGACAUCAUGCCUCUUUGAUCGAUGUCCAUCCAGUUAUAAAUGGAAGAUCAGAUAAUCUUCAACUUUAGUCUCAAAAUAAAUAGCAAACAGAUCGUGCCUGACUUAAGUAGCAAAAACCUAAUUAAUCGAUAUCUAAUAUUUCAAAUUCAAAAUAUAAAUAAUUUAUAUUUUCAACUAAUUUUUUUUUUUUUUAUAAAAUAGUUAACAUACUAUUAUCUUUCUCUCUCUCUCUUUUUUUUUUUUUUUUAUAAAAAAAGGCGAUAUUGUCAACGUUGUGGGGUCACCGGAUGGGCCUGUGAGAUCCAAACAAGCAAUAAUUAUUUCUUGAAACAUUAAUACGAGACGGCAAGGUUUAACCCUCAAAGGCUCAAACAACCAGCCGUAUUUAACGUGCAACUUGGACGACUACAGCCAAUUUGAAUAUAUUUUAUAGAGUACAUCUCAUACAGGUCCCUACAAUAAUAAUGAAUGACAAAUACAUUUUUAUAAAAUUUAAUUUUCAUAUACUGUUUCUAUAAACAUUCUGAUAUUUUCAAAUAUGUCCUUCCAAUUUGUUAUCGUUAGAGAACUGUUUAUAUUUUCAAUUUUGACAUCACAAAUAUAUCGCCGCUCAAAAGUCUUAACAGUAUAAUAUAAAAGAGGUAAAAAUAUCAAAAACUAACCAGAAUUAAAUAUUUAAUCUAUGAUUAAUUAAACUUUUCUGAUGAAUUCUAAUGACGGGAAUAUAUUUGUCAUUCAUCAUGUUUACAGAAAACUGUGUGAAAUUAACCCUAUUUUAUAAUGAUUAAGUUACAUCAACUUUGAAUAUUAGGAUUAGGUGAGCUGGCAAUUUAAUAGCUACAAUUCACCUCUCUCGUAAGUGCCUCAAAAUUAGAGAUCAUUAGUUGCCCAAAAUGGGGGCUAGUUGUUGUACUACAUAUGAUUAUUAAAUUCAACUUGAGCCCACGAAGAUUAUCCUCGUUUGCUUUUAUGAAAAUUUAAGUACAAUUUGUUCGUGUCAUGUGGUACAUAUAUUUACUUCGCAUUUUGAAACAAUUAGACGAAAAUUGUGAAUAUUUGACUUACCAAUGAUGGGGAAUCUAUAUAUAUAAAGAUUAGAAAGUGAUUUGCAGUUAUGGGUACGUCUCACAUUAAUUUUAUAUCAAUAUCCUUUUAUCACAUCAUUGUCUUUAUUCCUUUCGCAAAAUUAAUCUCAAACAAAUUUUAUAAUUUCUCACAUUGCCUUUAUUGUCCUUCUAUUACUUAUUUUAUUGCGGCGUGCGAACAACCUACUGUAUCCAUGCAGAAGCAGUUCUUGCCUUCUUGGUAUUGUAAAAUUAAUCUUUAUCUAAUCUAAUCUAAUCUAAUCUAAUCUAAUUUGUGCAGAGCGGAGAAAAUUGUGUGAAAAUUAUGGGACCGACGGAAAUUUGAAAACAACUCUACAAAAUCGUAAAUAAAUCCUGACAUAAGCUUUAUGUUUACGUAUAAGUUAGAAUCAUCUAGAACUGGAGCUGGGCUCCUGUGCUUUCAAAAACAUAAGAGUAUUUGUAUUUGUGACUUUUUUGCCGUCGAAUCGUCUCAAGAUUUACGUAGCAAUAUUAACGGCGUGUUUCAUUAAAUCUUCUUUAUUAGUAUUGUACGGAUUUUGAGGCGAUCCGACGUUAAAAAAAUCAUAAGCACGUUGAGCUCCUAUGCUGUUAAAAGCAUAGAAACUCAGCUCUCUAGAAUUGUGUUCUUUACGUAAAUUCUUUUUCUAAAUAGUGAUUUGAAUUUACACAUGGUCAUUUACUAUGUAUGUUUGUCCCCUGCAUUGCACAAGCUUUUGUGCUCGGUCCAAAUCUCACGCAAGAAUUCAGCUGCGCUCGUGAAGAAAAUUCUUAAUUGCUACCACAGUUGGUUCGACCACACGCUGCUUUUCGAAUGAUCCCAUUUCACUACUUGGUUGGGGAUUUUUUUUUUUUUUUUUUUUGAGAAAUAAGUAGCACGCUAUCCGUUUCGUUUAUUUUAUUUAGAAAUAAACUUAGCUGGAAAUAUGAAUCAACUAGAAUUCGAACUUAGAUCUCGAAUACCAACCACCAAUUCCUUUGCCACUUGCUCUAGGGACCCACGCUUUUUGAGUGAGAGUAGGUGGAGUAUCAUGAUAUCAUCAUCCUGGAAACGUUCUAUUUCUGCAAUGCACAAGAUUAGGGCGUUGACGAGAAAAACUCUCCAGGAAAAUUUUAAAAAAGGAUUCAGUUAACAUGCCCUUUCAAUGCACCGUUUCACACAAUUGAAAACCAUUCGGAAUAAGUACAUAUAAUAAUAUGCUGGUUAGGUAAUUCCAUUCCUUGGUGUGAUAGUCUUUUUAACCUGACUUCACGAGAGGCUAUUUAUUUAAAAAGGAUAAUACAUACUAUACCCUUCAAAGUUUUUAAAAUAUCUUAUAUAUCUUUUUUAUUUUUUGUUUCAAAUAUAUUUCUAGUGUAUUUCUUCAUUAUUCAAAAAUAUCCUGCUGUUAGUAUCGUUAAGUCAUUUCAGGUUAAACCGGAUUAAAUUUCUACUCAACUUAAGGGGAAAAAAAAGAUUAGUGACGGUAAAAGGGCAUUUUUGAAAGGAAAGGAGUCCAAAUAUUUCAUUUUGUUCUUAACUUAAGAGUAAAUAAGAAAAAUUGAUGAUAAUAAGAAGAUAAAUUUGAAAGGGCAAAAUAAUAACUUUACAGAUAUAGCAAUUGUUCUUAACAGAAUCUAACUUUAGUAGGGGUAUAUUCGAAAGAGCUUAUAUUGUUAAAAGGGUAUUUUAGUAUUAUUAGCCUUCUAAGCAGGAUAAAUAAAAAAAAUCGAAAACAUCUUAAAAGUAUAUAAACAACUGCCCUUAAGGAGCCACUACAAAUUAGUGAGGUACUUAAUAAGAUUGAAAUAAUUUAAGAAUGGGCUAGAAAGAAAAAAAAAAAAGGACAUUUAGAAAGAAAACGAUAGAAAAGUAUUUAUUCGUAGGUGGCCAAAAACACCCCUAACAUAAAUUAGAAUAGAGAAAGGGGAGCAAAUCUUGGACAACUUUUUUUAAUUUCAAAAUCAUAUACAGUGUCCCACCGAGUGUUUUCUUUCUCGGUUAGGCUUUGAAAUUUCCAAGUUCCCAAAUAUGCUUUGUCUAAAUUGAUAGUGAAAUAGACAACGACAACCCACCAGCAACGUAAUCUCCCUCAAUCGAAAUCGUGACUACGUCGAAAUUUCCUUCUCGUAUACGUUUGAGAGACAAUGAUACUCCACAUUUUUUAUACAUACAUCCCUUAUAGAAUAUAUGUGUUGGUUCAUAUAUUCUUUCAUGCUUUAUAAUCUAGAAAAAUGCUACAUAUACACCUAUUUAUACGUGUAGAUCCAGCAUGUAAUCCUAAGGUUUACAAAAAUCUAAGUAUUUAGUUAAAAAUAUACACCUAUAAGUCUAGGGAUUCCUUUAUAAUCUCAGGGGCCGAUGUAAUUAUAAAUGUAAUCUAGUUAAAGAUGCAUCCAACUAAAAAUAUAACGGUUGUUACUAUUUGCAUCUUAUUUGGCUGGGUGCAAUAAAAAGUAUUGUAAUUAUAAAUAGUUUAUUUUACUGUAUGCAGUUGAUAAACAUAUUUAUAAAAUUUUAUCACUUUAUAUAUAAAAUGGUGAGAAUAUCUCCUCUAUGUAAAAAAAUUUAUUUAAAAGAUAACAAGGGAGGAAAACUUACAUUUUGUUUGAAAUUAUGCUCUCCAACACCUGCAAUUAAAAUUACAGCCAAUUUAGGCGUAGUUCCCACUACUACAAUUGAGCCAUUUUGUACAAUUCAGCAGUCGGAUUCAAAUGUAUCAAAUCACAUACCACAUUUGAAUUUGCAUGCAGUUACGAUUGCAGUGCGAUCCUAACUAUAUACGGCCAAAUAAUCCCUAAAUGCACAUGGAAACAUUUUGUGUGUUCGCACAAAUAUUUCUUCUCAGCUAAUGGUAUCCAAAUAUUAGAAUCUUACAGAAACCAACUAUAUGCAAUUACAAGAGUGAAACUUACAAAUAGACAGUUUUCAAGGCAGAAAAAACUACAUACGAUUUCUUAUAAUUAAGUUCGUAUCUGGGAGUAGUAUUAACUGAUCAUAAUAUGGAAACAGAAUAAAAAAAAGGGGGGGUUAAACACAUUGCUAAGUAAAGGAUCUUUCAUGCGAAUUGAAUGAAACGGCACUCGUGCAAGUAACUAAAAUCUGCAAGAAUACCAACUUUACGCUUGUGGACCAGCUAAUAUAAAUGUUUUGAGGGCAAUAUAUGCGAAAACCAUAAAAUGAAAAAGACUACAUGUUGCAUGUUUUCAUGGUCUACCUACUAUCAUUACUCACUUUACACGCCAAUGUACGUUGAUAAUUUAAAACAAAGUUUACAACCAAGACAGGGUGUGUAGGUCUUUUUAUGUCUCCUUAUUUUUACCACAUGAUAAGCUAGUUUGUUCACAAUUUAUUAUUUAUUUAAAUUCUACAAGUCAGAAGAGAUCUAGAGGGAGAGGUAAAGAGAAGCAUGGGCCUAUUCCUCACAAAAAGAUUAAGAUGUAUGGAGAUUGAAAGUCGGUCCCAACUUCUUUAUUUAAAUAGUUUAGUCUCUAAACUUUCACAUAUGUUGCAAUUCUAGUCCCUAAUUGUCAAAAACUAUCUCUAAAAUGCGUAAUUUAUUAUAGUGUAAUCUAAAUAGAAUUAAUACGACUAUUUUACAGCAAACUUAAGAUUAUAUGUCAAAGCACAGGGAUUAGAGUAAGUAAAUGAAAAGUACAUGAACCAAACUUGCAAUAUUGGGACUGUACAGCAACUAUGCAUGUAGCUUACCAGUGAAAGAAGAGGACAUAUGGUAGGCAAGAAUGGCAUAUAUGCCAUGAUUCCACGAGUGUAACAGAUCAUCAUUUGAUUGGAAAUGAAUUUUAAGAUCAGUCCAUAUCUAAUUAUAAAUGGGACCCUUCCUCUGAUGGGUAUUCUGGAUACAGCACAGAUGAUGCAGCAGAGAAACAGGCAUGCACACAACCUGCUUGUGCUGUUUGCUAAGAGAGAUUCUCCAUCUACUGGAACCAGAAACAUAUUCACAUUAUGUACAUACUAUGUACAUAUACAAAACAUUCAACAUUUGUGUGCCGAGAGAGGUUAUAAAAAUUAGAUAUAGUUUACCAUUUAACCAAUAACUCCAUUGCGAUCUACCACAAAGCCUCCGCUUUCGUCAAAUCCCCGAGCCGUAUGUUAGAAGAAUUAACCAUAUAGUGGACCACUUGAAUAAGCGAACUAGUAACUUCAGUCAAAGUUUGACUCAAGCACGAUCUCCUCAUUCACGGGCAUCCGACCAAAUUGACGUAAAUGUGAGUUUUGUUGUGGAUUUCGAUGUUUUCAAGUUCCAAGUGGUGAAUUGCUAUCAAGAAAAAUUCAGGUGAUUACAGAAACUUUUUUCUUAAGUUGUAGCUGUAAUUUUGUUAUUAUCUUUCGAAUUUGAACUGUAAUUUUGUUGUUGAAGUAUUUUACAAUUGUCGGCACUAAUAAAAUGCAUAUAGGACAAACACAGAUCCACAUGUCCAAGGACCAAAUUUAAGAGAAUAAUUACAAAAAUGAUGACGAAGAUGAUGUGAUAACCAUAUAUAAGUGGGACCUCAUAUUUUGAACAUGAAAAUGAUCUCGUUGGUUGAGCAGUGAACAAGUAUAUAGCAAUGUGGGUUAAGCAAAUUAUUUCAUUGGGAACUAAUCUUCUAAGUUAUAGACUUGAGUAUAUAGCAAUGUGGGUUAAGCAACUUAUUUCAUUGGGAACUAAUGUCGUAAGUUAUAGACUUGAGUAUCCAUCAAAGCUUGUUUAAAGAAGUAUCAUAUUAAGUGAAUUUAUUUGGCUUUCUCUCCACAAAACUUAGUACUGCAAAAUAAAGGCCAAACUUUUUCAUGAACAUCUCCAAUUUCCAGCACAAAAAAAGGUAUCCUCCAUGAAACUAGUGUUUCUUCUAACCCGAAAUACAAAAUGAGGACGUUUUUGGAAUUCUUUAGAUAAUAAUACGUCAAUGUAGAGUAUGGCCUAUAAAAGAAACCCUCAAUCAAAAACCUACACGAAGUUUUGCGGAUAAUGAUGCCAAAAAGAAAAAAACCAAUGUCAACAGCAAAAUCUUAGGCCGGAAACUAUUCAAAGGUGCCUGCAAUGCGGUGACAAUUAACAAAAGAACACGAGAAAAGUGUGAAAGCAAAAAAAAUAAAAAAAAAGUUUGGAAGCUAAUCGACAUGCAGAUUUCAGUAGAUUCUUGAAAGCAAAAUUUGAAAGCAACUGAAUGCAUUGUUAAGUAUGUAACUGAAUGCACCGGGUUUAUUGAGAUUAUUGAGGAGGCAUAACAUUUUAUGUUAUGGCUAGCACGUCUUUCAUGCCUUAUGUAUGAAGGACCUUCUUGCAUGUGCUAUGGUGUAGGCAAAUUGAUUGGCGGAUCCUGCUUUGGAAAAACUAGUAGUAGAGUUGGAAUUGUAUUCUAAUUUGCAUACUUUGCAUAUGUAAUUUAGAUUGUUCUAUAAGGGAGAGAAGUUGAGCUUGGUAAGAGUGUGUACAAAUUAGAGAGUAAGUGCGCCAAGUACUGUGCGUGCACAAGUAGAGAAAGGUGCACCAGGGAGGCAGUAGAGAGACAGAGAGAAAAGAAGAGAGAGGGUGAGAGAGAUAUAAACGACAGCUUGGGAUUAAGCUACUCUUAGCGUUAGACGAGAAGUUGGUGUAAUAUUUUUGUAUUAUUUUUCUUAGUUUUACUUCUAUCUCUGUUGUUUAGAUUCUUCCGAGUGAAAUUUCCUAACAUGCAUAAAUAUAUGGAGCCAAGAUAAUUGAUCCAAAUGCAUUUAUGAGAGAUCGAAAUGCAUUUUGGAUCUAUAACCUGCACCAGGUAUUUACACAGAAAUUCAUCAUAAGUAAAGAUCCAAGUGUUCAUGCUAGUAUUAUUAUGCGGUCUUAAUUUCUAUACACCUCUACAAUAGAUGUUUCCCCAUGAUAAAAUUUGUUUUGCGAAAUUCCUUUAUCUCUCCCAUCUCUUAAGAUCUAAUGCAAAAGAUUCAAAGCAAUAAACAGCCUCAACAUACGUCUUUCAAUUUGUACGAAAUAAUUUUUCUGAAAUUCAAUUUGUGCAGAAUUAAUGAUGCAACUCCUAGUUAACUUGUUUUGUGCAUAGUACUUGCACUUAUUUGAUUAGAGUUUUCUAAUUCUAGCAACCAUGAGACCUAGAGUUCAGUCAUAAAGUGGCAAAUGGUUGUCCAAUGAACUAGAGUAAGAAACUUAGAAAAUCUUCUAUCAAAAAUUAAGUAGAAUGACUGACCGUCCCUAGAGCAAGUGGCAAAGGGCUUGGUGGUUGAUACCCGAGACCCAAGUUCGAAUCCUAGUUGAUUCACAUUUCCAGCUAAGUUUAUUUCUAAAUGAAAUAAACGAAGCGGAUAGCGUGCUACCUAUCUCUCAAAAAAAAAAAAAAAAGUAGAAUAAUUCCUUGUGCAAAUUCAUUAACGCGAAAAGAGCCAAACAAAGAGACGUAUUAAAGUUGGAUAAUCCCUAUCCUAAUCUAGCAGGAUACAGGACUGAUGAGAAACUCCCCUACACCCUUCAUAGAAAUACAACCCUAUAGAUCUCCAGAGACGCCUACAAAUAAAUUGAGCAAUAAGAUCAUAUUAGGACUCAAGAAUACAAUCAUCUUAUGCUAACUAAUAUCUGGCUAAAUGUCAUAAAUAUCCUGCGGAACGAUAGUCGACGUCGUCAGUAAUUAGACAGGGAAAUUGUAGAACGCAGGAAUAUCAGCAAGUGAAAAUUUAGGGCUUAGUACACUUUGUAAAACACAUCUUCCUCCAACUCCAAGUCUCCAACUAAUUACAAAACAGACAAGGAGAAAGUAUGCGAUUAACUAGAAUACUAAAACUACAAAGUGUAGUACAUAAAUGUGACCCAAUUCGUUACUUGCUUCGAUUAUCCAGCACUCAGAUGAAAUUGUACCAUUUUCGUUGUGUAAGUCUACAACACUGCAAGCUUAAAGAGAACAAAGAUGCUCUGUGACCAAAACAUCUGAUCUUGAUUUUAAUCUCUGUAACCAACACCCAACAUGAGGACUGAUAACGACAUGAUUUGAAAAACUACUUCCAGAUCAGGUAUGUCUAGCCUAAUCUUUGAGACAUUUCUUACCAGCUAAAUCUUAUGACAGAUUCAAAAAUUUCUCCAUUUUCCUAAACGUUCUUCACUUCUGCUGCUUCCGCGUUAUCAGGUUAAGGAAGAGAAAUGACAAGAGUUGUCUUAAGUGCUCAAUGAAAGUAGGCUUAUUCCGGUGAUCCCAACUCAUAAAUGAGAAGAAUCAAUAUUAAAAGAUCGCAAUUAGAAUCAAUAUUUAUAAUAUGCACAAGAUCACUGUAAGGGGGCGUUUGGUUCGCACUAUGAAACAUUACUAGAAAUAAAAAAAUGUCCGAGAAUUUUUUUUUUAUUCAUCCUAUUACUAAGAAUGUGGCAUUACUGUGUUUGUUUCAUACGGUUAUAUUAUUUAGUCAUGUUAUGUAAUAUUACAAAAAAUAUACAAUUAAUUAAUUAAUUUUUUUAAUUAAUUUUAAAUAAUGCUAUCAAAAAUUUCAACAUCUUUUUAGAAAAAAGGGAGAGAGAACAUAGGUUAGAGAGAGAGAGUAUAAUUAAAGAANUUUUUUAAUUAAUUUUAAAUAAUGCUAUCAAAAAUUUCAACAUCUUUUUAGAAAAAAGGGAGAGAGAAGAUAGGUUAGAGAGAGAGAGCAUAAUUAAAGAAAUAGAAAGAGAAAUAGAAUCGAGAUUAGAGGGAGUGAGAGAGUUGAGAUUCUAAAAAAAGAGGGGGAGAGAGAGCUUAGUUUAGAGAGAGAAAAAGAGUUGAAGUGUAGAGAAAAAAAGAUAAGUUUAGAGAGAGAUAUGAGGUUAGAGUGUAAAAGAAAAUAAUACCAACUAGCUGGCGGUUAGAGGGAAAGAAAAAGAUUAAACAUAUUAUGAUUAUCCCAAUCUAUUAAUAUGAGGAUACCCACCCUCCCUUAAGGGAAUGAGAUUAGUACUUUGGAAUAAAUCUCAUUUCCAAAUAAAUUUAAUAUUACCAACUAGAUUACUUAGUGCGUUUAGCCAAACACUGUCAUAUUUUUUUAUUUCUAUUGGAUUACUAGAAAUCUUAAAAAGAUAGUGCGAACCAAACGCAUCCUAAGUGUAAUCUGAUAUGGAGUUGAACAUGAAUGAAACACAAGAUACUAGAUUGAUUCAUUACUGUACCAACUUUGGCUCAUCUUGACCCAGAAACAAACAGUUGAUCUACAUACCAUUUACCACAGGAACUACUGUUAGUAACACCAAUGCAUCUUAUUACAAAUUCCAUCCAAAAACCAACGUAUGCAAGGAUUCAUCAAAUUGAUAACAAUAAUCAUUUAUAUCAUUGUUAAUUGCAAUAUAAGCGCAGAGAGAGAGAGAGAGAGAGAGAGAGAGAGAGAGAGAGAGAGAGAGCUUCACCUUGGGGUGUGUUGUUGAUGGUAUGGAGAGAAAAGGGUUUGGGUUCUCACCACGAUUUCGUAGCGUCGUAGGAGCCAAACUCUGAGGAGUGUGUUCGAAUCCCGAACUGUGCCCCUCCUACGCAGAGCGGCCUUGGGAGACCUUUGGUUGAAGUCGGCGGCGAAAUACCCAAGAAACCGACUUUAACACUGUGAAGUCGGCGGCCGAAUCGCUCGAUUUGAAGACCCAUCUGAACGGUGUAGUGUACUGUGGCCCGUACGAGUGUAAUGUAAGCCGUUCCGGGCCGGUACGGCCCACAUUAGCCAGGCCGAAACGGGCUAGAGGCUGGCCUGGCCUGACCAGGCUUCAAUUUCGGGCCAGGCCGUGCCGGACCCGAGUUGCCUAGCCUCGGGCCCAGCACGGCCCUUCUGCCUGGAAGGCACGGGCCGUGCUUCAGACCAAUCUCUUAAAAUAUUUAUUUAUUUAAUUUUUUUAAAAAACUUAGUAUAAAAUUUAAAAAUAUAAGCAAUAAAUAUUUUUAUUUAAAUUAAUAUUUUGAUUAAAUCACUAAAAAUUUAUAAAAAUAAUUACAAUAGAUAUAAUAAAUAUUUAAUUUUUUUAAAAAUAAAUAAAUUUAUUAUUUUUUGGAAAAAAAUAAAAUAAAAUUUUGGUCCAAUGGAUCAAAAUUCUUUGGUCCAUUGGACCAAAAUCACUCCUCCCAAGGUCUAAAGAAGAGCUCAAGCCUCCAGGGGAGGAGGGCUUGCCCCAAGGCCCAAGGCACUUGGGGUCCGGGCCAUGCUGGCUCAGCUGGCGCGCCCGUGUCGGGCCGCCCGCCUCUCCUCGGCCCGGCACAGUCUAGACCCGUUUUGGGCCGUACUAGGCCGGGUCGUCGGGUCCUACAGGAGCGGCCCAGCUCGGUCCGGAAAUAGGUGCCUCUAGAAAAGGAAAAUUUUUAAAACUACCUAAAAUUUAUCUGAACUACAUUUUAUUAUUUAAACUUCAAUAAAGUAUUAAAAUCCAACCCUAAAACCAUAAUUCUAUUAUAAUUAUAAUCUACUAUAAAAUCAGUAUCAAUCAAAGAAAACAGAAAUUGAAACUGAAUUUUUCUCGGUGGAUCACUUUAGCAUCUAUUUCACAAAUUUUUUUUAAAAAAGAUAGAUAUAAUUAAUAAAAUCCUAAAAGGCUAACAUUAGAUAGAUUAUCUAAUUUAUGUUUGUAAAGCUUUAUUGUUGAGUUGAACAAUCAAUUCAAAAUUUUUGAUUUAUUUGAAAUAAGUGGACGUAAUUUUGAAUAAAAGAGAAAUCAACAACAAAGAUUAAGUUUCUAUUUAUUUUUAUGGAUCUCGAAAGUUGAACUUGUAAUUUUGAUAAAAUUAUAGACGUUAGCAUUUAUUUGGACAUCAAAGUCGUAAAAUUGUACAAACUGUCACUCAAAGAUAAUGUGAAGAUCGAUUUUUAAUUUUGGUGAUUUGAGAGCGAAGUCAAAUUCGCAAAAUUGACAAAUUUUUUUUUGGACCCAACUCCCCACUUCCAAAUAGCAAAACGGAUGAAAAUUUUAUUAUUAUUUUUUUUAAAGUUGCAUAUAUAUAUAUAUAUAUAUAUAUAUAUAUAUAUAUAUAUAUAUAUAUAUAUAUUUUUUUUUUUGUUACUAUCCUAUUAAUAGGAUAGGAGCACUUGUCCUAUCAAGUUGUUCUGUAUGAUCGAGAUUCCGAAUCAAUGAUCGGAAUCGUUGAAGUUGAUCUAGAGUAUUUGAAAUAUCUAGAAACUAAAUUUCAUAAAUUUUGAUAAUGGUUUACAUGGUGAUCAAAGUGUCGUAAAAUCGACAAUUUUUUACGGCCUAUAUGAGCCGUUUGCUUGUUUAACGGUGUAGAGCAAUCCAAAUUGCUUGAAUUUUUGAUAGAAAAUUUUUUAUACUAUUUAGAUAAUAUUUGAUAACUCUGAUUACGAACUGAGAAAGUCUAACCUCUAUUUUAAGAAGGUUAUUCAUUUAUGACCGUUCAUUUUUCAACUCUUAAGAUGAACUUGAUAAUGAUUUUUAAAUAAUACAAAAUUUGGUUUCUAAACAUUUCUAAUUGUGUAGAUCAACUUCAACGGUGCGGAUUAUCAAUUUGAAGUUCCGAUCAUUCAAAUCGACUUGAUAGGACAAGGGUCCCAAUCCUAUUAAUAGGAUAGUAGCCGGACCCUAUAUAUAUAUUAUAUAUAUAUAUACAGUAAUGAUAACGAAUUUACCAUUCCGUUAUGACACGUGUAUAAGACACGUGCAGACAUAAGUCGGUGGCAUUUGAACCUAUAACGGUUCAUUCAAAUGCGUCUUUAAAUAGACGGAUCCCUCCUUCGCUCAAUUACGUUUGGGCACAUCCCAUCGUCUUCCUCGUCUUCUCCCACCUUCCCCUCCUCCUCCCCCGCAACGCCCAUGGUGUUUCCUCUUCGUCGACGCGUUCUAGGGUUCUUCUCCCCUCUUUCAACCCGUGCUAGGGUUUCUCAUCAGGUCUCUCUCUCUCUCUCUCUCUCUCGCUGAUUCCUCUUCUUGAAUCCAAUUCCAUUUGCUACGAUGAUCGCAUGAUAUCAACUCUCCAUCACGAUGUGGUUUACAGGGUGUUCUCGUCCAUCACAAUGUGGUGCUUACACAUCUUCUUCAAGAUCUAGGGGCUCGAUGAUGUCUCGAUGCAUAGAUAUCUUGUGCUCUGACACAUUGAAGUUUAAAGAGUACCAACUCCACAAUCGGAUCCAAUCUUUCUAGGGUUUUCCCGACUCAAUCAUCGUCAAAGUGCGCAUGCGCAUCUUCUUGAAGCUCUUGGCGCCCGAUGAUGUGCUGAUGCCCUCCAUUUCUUAGCGCUCUUACUAACGGAAGUUUCAGGGCUACCAAUUCGAGGAUCAUCGAUCUUUCUAGAGUUUUCCGGACUCGUCCGUCAUCAAUAUAUGCGUGCGCAUCAUCUUCAAGCUCUUGGCACCCGGUGAUGUGUUGAUGUCUCCAUUUCUCGCUCUUUUACUCGUGGUAAUUUCGGGCCUGCCAAUUUUAGGAUCAUCAAUCUAUCUAGGGUUUCCUCGACUCAUCCAUAAUUAACAUGGGCGUAUUUAUCUUCUUCAAGGUCUUGGCACCCAAUGAUGUGCCGAUGCCUUUAUUUAUUGCGACCUUACUCAUGGAAAUUUCGGGGUUUCCAAUUCUGGGAUCAUUUAUCUAUCUAUGGUUUUCCCGACUCAUCCAUCACCAAUAUGGGUGUCUGCAUUUUCUUCAAAAUUUUAAUGUGGAUGAUCAUAUGAUGUGCCGAUGCUUUGGUUUCUUGUGCUUUUGCACGUUCAAUAUUGUCUCAGAAAGAUGUCAGGGUGAGUUCCCUAUCCUGCUAAUCUCUUCGUUUAGUUGUUGCUUUUGUAAUAAUAUUUUUUUGGAGCAUUAUUUUCAUGUGGAUUCUUGGAUUCGGGUGCUUCAUUUUCUCAAUUCCAUAUUGUACUUGAUGAUGUGCCGACAUCUUGAUUUCUUGUGCUCUCACAAUGGAAGUUUGUGGGGGGGUGUAUCAAAUCUGAAUCAGAUCCAAUCUUUAUGGAUUUUCCUAGAAUCAGAUCCAAUCUUUAUGGAUUUUCCUUACUCAUCUGUUGCAAUGUGGCAUGCUUAUCUUCUUCAAGAUCGUGGAGCUCCAUAAUAUGCUGAUGCCUCUAUUUCUUGUGCUCUUACAUGCUCAAUAUUCGCUCAGAAAGAUGCCAGGUGCAUUCUCUAUCCUGCUAAUCUCUUUUUUUUUCCCCCUUCCUUUGUAACCUUAUAUUCUUGUUUAUAUUAUAAUUCUGUAGUCAUUAUAUAAGGCUGGAGCCUGGAAGGAAUAUAUUUGUGUUACAUGAUAGAUUCAGAUCAUAAUAAUGAAUCUAUUAUUUCUCAACACUGAUAAUGUCACUUUUGUUAUGGCCUAUGUGGUGUCUUUUGGCUUCAAAAGAGAAUGACAAGUGGCCGGCCAAAAGCUCGACAAGAUAGACUAAGUAAGAGGAUUUUCGAUGUCGACAUUAGCGUUUAUAAUCUCCAAAGUAUGCCACCUGGGUAUUUAAUCACCCAAGGGGCUUGAUGCUAAUUUGGUGUAGAAUUAGCACUGAAAUAUAAGUGGAAAAUUAGGUAAAGGACAGACAAAAGGAUCUGUUUUGUAUAUGGUUUGAAACAGUUGGAUUUGAAAAGUGUUAAGUACUUGGCGUACUGGAAACACUACUACAAAGAUAUGGUUGGAAAAUUAGAACCAUAGCAUCAUAGAUUCAUUCACGUUAUUAGUAAUAUAUAUACUGUUAUUCAAAUGUGAAGAAAUGGGCUUUAGGGAACAAAAAUAGAAAGUUGGCGACUGUGUUGUCAUAGACAAAAUCAAAGUAAACAGAAAAGGAAGAAGUGGCGAUAUGGACUGAACAUAUGGAUUUUGGUUUUGAUUAUGUUGUUUUGUUAGGCUAAAGUUGUUUCGUGAUGCUAAUAAUCAUACUACGAAGAUAGUGUUAAAGAACAAAAUGUAAAAGAAUCCAUUUUUCUAUUAUUUGAUUCAGCUACUAGUAAGGCAUCUGUUAUUCUUGAAGAGUACAAAGCAUGUGUUUUUGGAUGUUAAUUGGUGAUUUUAGGGCCAUUUGGAUGAAUUGGAUGAAUAUUAGUAGUAGCUUUUGCUGGGUCAUGACAGAAAAACAAGAGAAACUAAAAGAAAACAUGAGAAUGGAAAAGAAAAAGGAGGAAUAAUUCGUUAUUCUGCAAAUAUAGGGCAAUAAACAAGCCCGAGUGGUUACUUGUUAGAUUGAGAGCAUUUAGGAUAGUGUGAUUGUUGUAUUAUUGUUAGUUAAAUGAAAAUUGGUGACUGCCGGGAAGUCAAUGUUAAGCAAACCUAGAGAAUCGUUUUACUAAAUGGAUGUCGAGGUAAAAUGGGUUUCAAAAGGAGUUCAAUUUAGCGGUUUAUUUGAAAGGGGUUUAUUUCUAUUCAAUCGAUAGUUAGUGAAUGCAAGUGAACACAGUUAAAGGAUCUAAACAGCACAGAGAAUGUAAUGAAAAUAUGGUUUUGAGCAGUCACAAACUUUGGGUUGAUUAUGUGUGUGUCUGUGGUGAUGAAACAUAUAAUACAAAGACAUAAUUGAAAAUGGGAUUAUAAGGUGCCAGAAAAUUGAGCCUUUUGUAGUGAAAAAUAUCGCAUUUUAGGAGGACCUGGUUGGUGGAUUUUAUAGUUAGUUGAGUUUGUGUCGAACAUUUGGGUUUUGAUAGAUGUAUCAAAGAAAAACAAUUAAGAAAUUAGAAAAUGGAGAGUAACAAGAAAAUUAUGCUACUAAAGACUCCAAUAUGUGGGUGGAACCAUGGAAGUCAUCUAUUUCUACUAUGUAUUCUCCUUAUAUUAUAGCAAUAUGGUUGUUGUAUUUUUACAAUAUUGAGCUUGACUUUGAUGAUGACCUUAUUUGUGAAUUUGGUUGUCAGCAGAAUGAAAGCAAGUGAUGGAUAAAAAGCUAAAUUUGAUACCAAAUUUAAUCUCUGGCAGCGGCGGAGCUAGAACUUUUGUGUAGGAGGGGCAUAAUGGAUGGUCAAUAAAAUUUUACUCAUCUCUGUUAGCUUUAUUUAUUUUUUUCAUAUUUAUAAAUUAUACUACUGUAAUUCUAUCCUUUAAUUUUAUUAUGAGAUAUAUAAUUACUUAAAAUAUAGUAAGAAAAAUAUUAGUAAAUUCUUUAACUAGUUGGUUAGCUAAAAUAUUUUUCUAAAAUUUUUUUGACAAGGAGGGGCACUAAAUAACAAUUUACAUUCUCUAACUAGUUGGUUAGCUAAAAUAUUUUUCUAAAAAGUUUUUGACAAGGAGGGGCACUAAAUAACAAUUUAUAAUAUUUUUUUUCUUGUUAGUAUAAAGAAAUUUGGGGAUCAAGCAGGGACACAUGUCCCUGCUUGACACUCCCCCGCAUCUGCCCCCGAUCUCUAGCAACCAUAAGAAUGGGAUUUUGCUGGUGGCAAACGAAAGAAAAAUAGUCUCAAACACUUGGGAGUUUUAAUUGCAAAAGAAAUUAAUUGUUAAUUCUGAUAAACAAAAUUAGAGAUGAAUGCAAGUGAAGAAGAGCUAGGGUAUAGGAUCUAUACAACAUCAGGGAUUGACCAGAAAUGCAGUCCGUAGCAACAGGAGUAGGUACAAUUUAUGGGAGUAUUUGUGCUACUAAACCGUCUAGUGAAAAUAGCUCUGGAAAAUAAAAUUGCAAGGUAUCUAGUCACACUAUUUACUUUAUUGAGGUUCUAGGGUGGCAUUUCCUUUUUAAUUUCAUGGCAAAGAAAGAUUGUUUCAUAGAGUAAGUUAGAUGGAAACCACUGGCCAGCCAAAAGUUGAUUUUUGGCAGAACUAGAUUAUUUAUUUUCUUGGCGGACAGAUGUAUAACUUAGAGGACAUACAAUUAACCCUGUUUAGACUUGAGGUAAGAUUUUGCGAGUAUUUAUUAUCAUGCUCGAAAGUGAUUUUGUGAGUGAUACUUUUAUUUAAGGAUCUAUGGAGUAGAGAUCAUGUGGCAAUUGGGUUGUGACAGAGAAACAAAUGAACAACACUAAAAGAGAGAAAGAAAUGGAAAUGGAAGAAAAGAAAAUAUACUAUGAUGCAUUCAUCACUGCAAACUAGGGUUGAAGGGGAUUUUUUUCAUUUUAAUGAUUUUUAUUAUAGUGUUACCUCUUGUUCGAUUUAAAACUGAGAAUAGCCUGUUUUGUCAUUUUAGGCCGUUGAAGUGAAAAUAUGUAUUGCUUGAGAACUCUAAAAACAGAAUAAAUGUUUGGAAGACCUUAGACCAAUUAAGGUGUAAACAUAUAUGAAUAGGCUGAGUAAGAGGUUGAUUUAUGGGUUCAUUUACAGGACUUUAUUGCUAUUCUCGUGGAAAAUUGUUUGUUGUUGCUAGUAGUUUCUUUUUUUAAAAAAAAGAUCUUGCAAGAUGCAUUUGGACUAUGUAGAAGAUCUACUAUGAAUGUGGUCUGUAUUUGAAUCAGAUUUACUAAGCCUUUAUGGAGUUGUAGGUGAUCUGUUUGUGAUAUUUGGUUGAUUUAGAUUAUUGAAAGAUAAUUAUUAUUAUUGAACAUUAGAAAAAAUGAGUUUUUGAAGAGAAACUAUGGUGGAUUUUAGAGUUGAUAUAACUAGAAUGGAUUAUCGUAGCUGGCAGUUGAAUGGAGACAAAACUAGGAAAAUAUGACAAGAUGGAGAAAAUCGAUAUAAGAAGGGUAAGGGUAGAAUGGACAAAAAUAUUAAUCUGCAUAUACAGGUUUGCAGUGUAAGGCUGGGGUUGGAUGGAUCAUUUUGUUUUAUUUAGCCAACUCAUAACACUAGAAUUUGAUUAUUAGGAUGGUUUGUUUCAUCGCUUUUUUGAUAAACGGAAUGAAAAAAAGAAGUGGAUGGAAGCUUCGGAAGUUCUGAUACCAAACCAAUAUUAUGCAACCCUAAGUAAAGGAUUAAGAGGAAACCAAGCUACAAAGACUAAAUAGAGAUCUAUUUAGUGGUUUUAUAAUAAAUUGAUUUAUUUCUAUUGAGUUCAAGAAUUAGUCAUCAACAAAAAUGGUUACUAACUAGAACUAGGGAUUUGGAAAGAACUGCAUUUGAAACAAUUGGAUUUUGAGGGUAGUAAGCAAUUAUUGGUGCCAAAUAGUAAUGUGAAGAUUGUAUUGGAUAAUCAGACUUAGAACGACUUACGCCUGGUUUAGGAACACCGUGGCCAAAUACACUCGCUUUAAUGCUUUAGAGGAUCCAAAAGAACUAGGGAGCAUUCAAAGCUUUCCUACAAUGUUGUAGAAUAGUGGCAGGAGCCACCAUUGUAGAAUCAUCGGGCCAAUGCUUCUCCUAUGGUAGUUCCCACCAUUAUAUAUUGCAUUAUAGGAAUGGGGCUUCGAAGUGCUUCUAGAACUUUUAGGCCCUCUAAGGCCUAGUUUGGGCUUGCGGUGUCCGGAAGCACUCUUUUUCAUGCUUCUUAAGGUCUAAAAAAUUUAAAAGAGUUUUCAAUUUUUUCUCUUCCAAUGAUAUAAAAUGGUGAUGAGAACCAACCCCGAAGAAGCAAGCAAUAGCUAGCUUCUCCAUAGAAGUGCUUACUUCUCCGGUGGUGGUCUCACCACCAUUUUAUAGCAUUAGAGGAGAAAUGAUUGAAAGCACUUAAGGAUUUUUUUGGCCUUCCGAAAUAUAAAAUCGGGUGCUUUUAGCCCUAAAGUCUCAAACUAGGCAUAGAGCAUCAAAGCAGGUGCUUUUGGCCAUUCCCUUAUUAAGCGUUAUUAGUGCUUGGUCAAUUUAGUGGAAAAUGAGUUUAAAAUCAAUGGAAUGAAUGAAACUGUCCAACAGCUGGGUUGUGGCAGUUAAUGUAAAGAAAAAUGAUAUGAAACAAAAAAAAUAUUUAGGAAGAAAUAAAUUUAUUCGACAAUAGUGUUGGCAAUUGAUAUAUUUAUGUUUUUAGUAUGUUCAAAUUUGUGCAGUGAUGCAUAAACACUGGGAAUAGGACUCUUAAGAUGGUCUGUUUGGUUGAUUUUGUGAGGGUAGAAAUGACAAUAACCAACAAGUUAUUAACUCUAAUAUCAAAAUUAAAUUUAGUGAGAUGCACGAAGACACUUUGUGGUGGAAAUCAUGGUAGAUCAACAUAAAGUCUAUUUCGAGUUUAAGACGACAAAAUUUAUUUCUAUCAUGGUCAAGAUUUAUUAGUGAAUACAAGUUAAAAGAACAUGGUUUAUGGAUGUGGAGAGCAAUGGUUUACAAUAAAUGAGGAAUGGGUCAGUUUUUUUAUUAUUAUUUAAGGUGCUGAAGGUAAUGAUUGUAAAAUAGUGUUUGGAGUACAGGACUACGAGGAUCAUUUUGUGUCAUUUGAUUCAUUUUAUAUGUAUUUUUGUUUCAAUGUGGAGAAAUGAGUUUUAGGAAGGGGCCUUGUUUGUUUGAUUUGAUUCAUUUGAUUUGUUUCAUUUGUGCGAUAAUACUAGUGCAAUCAAUAUUUUAAUAUUUUAACAUUCCUAUUUCUUAGCAAAGGCAAUCAAUAUGUUGAAUAGGAUUUUUUAGAAAUAUUGAUUCUACUAGUAUUAUUGCAUCGAAUAGGAGUGUUAAAAUAUUAAAAUCCAAAUUCUUUUUAGAGUUUGUUGCAUUCACAAAAUUUGUGCACAGCAACUUCCGACAGCUUACACAUUCAGCUUCGACCGUUGAAAAUGCUAUAGAAAUUUGCUUUUAGGAUAACCAGAAUACAAGUCAGUUUCCUAAACAAUGACAUGAUCCGCUUAACAACUUCAUUUCUUGGAUAAAUGGAUAAAUCGUGUUUUUAAAUGCAUUGUAUGGGCCAUUUCUCAUAGGGUCCUAUUUUUUCUCUCAACAACUCCAUUUUGUUGAGGGGUUUUAGGAACUGAAAAUUCAUGCUUAACACCAUUCGAAGAACAAAAGUUGUCAAAAUCUUGAUUAGAAAAUUUACCACCGUAAUCAUUUUGAUUUUUUUGAAACUUCCAAAUCCUUUUCCUUUUGAUCUCUUCGAAUAAAAAUUUUAGAAGAUUCAAAAGCUUUAUUUUUAUGCGACAAAAAUAAAGUCCAAGUAAAACGAGUAAAAUCGUCAACAAUCACAAAAACAUAAUUUUUGCCGCCUAAACUAGUAACACUAGUAGGACUAAAUAGAUCCAUGUGAAAAAGUUCUAAUGGUUUUAUAGUAGAAACAAUAUUUUUAGGCUUAAAAAAGGAUUUGACAUGCUUUCCUCUAGUGCACGCGUCAUAGAAUUUGUUUUUCGGGUAGUCAAGUUUAGGAGGACCAUUAAAUAAUCCUUUUCUCGCAAGUUUAGAUAGAACAUCUACACUUGCAUGUCCAAGCCUCCGAUGCCAUAACCAAAAAUCACUAUCAAAACUGAAAAACAAAUCUCCAUUUUGAAAAAUCUUGCUCAAAUUGAUUGUCUAUUUUUGGUUCUACAACUUUUAAACAUAAAUAUAGUUUGAGUUCAAUAGGUUGACUCGAAUUUAACAAUCAAUCCCUUGUCACAUAUUCACUGAUUAAGCCUUUUUUAAUAAUAGGACCCUUGGAGUGAAAGAGUCAACUCUUUCUCCCUCUUUAAUAGAACACUCUAGAAUGCUCUUUCUCUCUCUUUCCAAUUUUCUACUUGUUAAUGGAGCACUCUAGAAACUCUAAAAACAAGUGCUCUCUACUUACUAAUAGAGCAUUUUAGAAAGCUCUAGAAAUAAGUGCUCUAGAGAAUUCUAGAGUACUCAAGUUGGUAGGUUGAGGCCUAUAAAUAGGUGUGAGGCCUCCACACCUAGUAGUGAAGUGUCACCACAACAAAAAUGAUUUUUAGUGGUGACUUUUUGGUGGCGACAGGCAUUGAAUGUGAAUAAUAUGGUGGCGACAUUUAUUUGUCGCCGCCAAUGCAUAGAAAUGGCGGCGACAUAUAAGAGUCGCCAUCGAUAUGGAAAUGCAUGAAGUGAGUGCAGUGUGUGAGAGGAAGUGUUGUGAGGUGUAGUGAAGUAAUGAAGUGAGUGUGUGAGGCUUGUAGUAUUUUGGGUGUAUGUAUUAGUGAGUGUGUGAGUUAAAAUAAUUUAUAUGUAAGAGUUAUUUUAUCUGUAAUAAAAAGAGUUUUAUUAUUAGUUUGGUACGUCAAUAUUCUACAAUUUGGCAUCAAAGCCAGAUUGUAGGAAAUAUUCUGCUAGUUAAGCCGGUGAUAUUUUGCCAGUCCAGCCAGUUAAAUACUGAUAUAAGCAGAUAUUCUGCUAGUGCACAGUCUGGGACUGUGAAGUUGGUUGGUUUGGGACCAGACUUACUUGGUUGACUGCUGGGCAAUCACCAAGUCACUAUGGCAGAUCUUGCUGGUACAACUAGCGGAAUUAAAAGCUAAAUAACCAUAAUUAUGAUUAUUGGCAAACAUGCAUCGAGUCCUACCUAUAAGAGCAGGAUCUAUGAGAGGUAAUCGGUGGUGCUGAAACAACACCAUCGAAGGAGAAUGCAGAAGUGUUAAGGAAGUGGCGUAUCAAGGCAGAGAAAGCGAUGUUCGUUCUGAAGACAAUAAUCAAAGAAGAGCUGCUGGGGCAUAUCAAAGAAACAGACACACCCAAGGCUGCGUGGGAUACCUUCGCCUUGUUAUUUUCGAAGAAGAACCAUGCUCGACUUCAACUACUGGAGAAUAAGCUGAUGAUGAUAUCACAGGGCAACAUGAUGAUCAGCUAGUACUUCAUGAAGGUAAAAUCUCUCUGCCGUGAAAUUUUUCAGUUAGUUCCAGAGUCAAAAAUUAGUGAUCAGCGGAUGAAAAGAAUGGCCUACUCAACUAUCGUUGGUGGAGCUAGAAAAUUUACUGGCUAAUCAGGAGGCCCUAGCCAAACAAAUAGCUGGAGUCUCACUGAAAAAUGAAGAGAAGGCACUCUUCAACAGUAGAAGGAAAAAUCGAGCAACAGGAGGCCCAAGAAAUGUAGAGUCGCUGAAAGAGUUCAGUGGGUCAAAAUAAAGGUCGGGAAAGAGCCACCUUAUAGGGGGAGUCCACAACCAGAAGGAGCAAAAUAGUUGGCAGUUUAAAGGCGACAGACGACGAAGCGGAGAGUGUUACAAUUGCGGAAAGAAAGGACACUUCGUCCGAGAUUGUUGGCACAAGAAGAAACAAGUACAAGGCAAUAUGGCAACAUCAGGUCACCACCAAGUAGCAUACAAUAGUGAAGAAGAGUAGGAUGCUCAAGCCUCUUUCGCCAUCAUAGAGUCGGAAGAAUAUUGUCACUUAGAUAAUGAGAAGGCUCUCAAAGAACAAAGGUCAAAAGACACUGAUGUAGAGGAGAUGACGCAAAGUGCCAAGAAAAAAAAGCUAUUAAAGCGGGUACCAAUAUAUGCACUCACAACAAUAGAAAAUUCAAGAGAGGUGAAUUACAGUACAAAUUGGAUAAUCGACUCUGGAUGUUCCAAUCAUAUGACCAGUGAUAAAGACAAGCUGCUCAGCACAACAGAAUAUACAGGAGGAAGAGUAGUGGUGACAGCUAAACAAUUCAAAGCUGCCAAUCACCCACAUAGGGAAAAACGGUCAUCACACCCAGAUUUAGCCUACAUCAAGUACAACUACAAAACGUCUACCAUGUCCCAGGUAUGAAGAAAAACUUUUUAUCAGUAUCACAACUGACUGUUGUCUGCCACCACGAAUGACGCACCUCGCAUGGUCGAUAGGUUUUGCCGUAGGGUAGUAUUCAUGAUUUAGAUUAGUAUUUAUAUGUAUAUGGGUAUCAGGUAUUGCGGGUUCAUGGCUUCCAAUAGAUGCAAGCAUCUACUGUUAAUUAUCUCCGUGGCAUUGGGGCACCUUCAAUUAAGAGACCUUUAUAGAUGGAAUUGAAUGAAUCGUAUCUUGAUUUAUUGAAUCCUAAGUAUGUAUUAGGAUUCAGUUGGAUUUGAGAUUGACUAGGUCCUAAGUAUAUGUGUUAAGAUCUAGUCGAUAUUAAACUCUAUGUAUUAGAGUCUAAUUGGCUCUAAGUAUAUGUCUUAGAGUCCGAUUAUAUUCACCUUGGUUGUAUAUUUCAAGGUGGAGAUGUGACCAUACCCUAUGUAUAUGUAUUGAGGUAGGUCAUAUUUGAUAUUAUCCGAAAGUAGAGAAUGACUAAUUUCUGAGGCAUUGUUUGGUUGAGGGAUAAAGUGGGAAUAGACCACUUUAUCCCUCUAAUUCAUCCAAACACUAUAAGAGAGAGUGAGUUUAUUUAAUCCCCCUUUUAACGGGUUAUUCUAGAAUAACCCGUUAAGAGGGGGAUUUGUUGUUCCACCCUUUUGGUGGAAUAACAAAUUUUUCUCUUUAUACCUCUAUUAGUUUAAUAAUAAAAUAUUAUUAAUUAAUAUAUUAUAUAUAUCAUUUUAUUAACUAAUUAGCUAAAUUAAAAAUUAACUAAUUUAAUAAUAAAAUAUUAGCUAAAUUAAGAAUUAUUUAUUAGUGUGUUUAUGCAAUAACUAAUAUCUUUAUUGAUUAAUAAAUUAAUAUUUUUACCAACAUAACUAAUUAAUUAAUUAAUUAAUUAAUUAAUUUACUAAUAUAUUAAUUUAUUAGCCUAAUUUGUUAACUUAUUAAAUUAUUUAUAGUUAGAUAAUUUAUUAAUUAACAGUACUCAUGGUUAAUUGAUUAAUGAUUAAUUAAUCUGGUAAUUAAUGUAUUAAUUAACAUUUAUGAUUAUCUAAUAAUAUUCAUGAUAAAUUAAUUUUUUAAAAUUAUAAAUUUGAGAUUUUAAAAUUUUAAAAUUUAAUUUUGAUUUUUAAAAUUUAAAAGUUUAUAUUUUAAAUUUUAAAAUAUAAAUAUAAAAUAUAAAAAUUCUAAUUCUAAUAUAAAGAAAAGAAUAAUAUUAUUAUUUUUUAUUUAUAACUAUCCACUUUAAUUCUUAUUCCAUCUUACCUAACCAAACGCAAUUUUUCUUAUUUUCAGGAAUAACUCAAUUUUCAUCUAAACGCAAAAUUGAUCUAAUCCCUGCUUAUACCUCAAUUUAUAUCUAUCCCCGGAAUACCCACUUUUUGCUUAUUCUCGAACCAAACGAUACCUGAGUGUAUGUAUUAGAAUUAAUCGAGUUUAAUAUAUUUUUCACUCUAGUUAUGUGUGCUAGAGUGAGGAUCUAGCUAAGCCCUAAGGUAUUAUGUUAGGAUUCGUCUGAUUUGAUUUGCAUGAGCUCUAAGUAUAUGUAUUAGAGCUCGAUCGGAUAUGGUUUCACUCUAGGUAGAUGUGCUAGAGCAAAAGGCUGAUUAGACCCUAAGUGUAUGUGUUAGGACUAGUCGAGCUUGAUUUGGCUUUCACUCUAGGAAUAUGUGCUAGAAUAAAAGAUUGACUGGACCCUAAAGGAUAUGUGUUAAGGGUUAGUCGAAUGAGCUCUAAGUAUAUGUGUUAGAGUUCGAAUGAACUUGAUAUAUAAUUUUUGACUGAAUUUUAAGUGUAUAAUUUAAAACUUUGUCGAUUUGGAGAUGAUCUUGCCUUAGUUAUAUGUGCUAAGGCGAUUGACUUAGUUCUAAAUAUAUGUAUUCGGGGUAGUCGAUAUUGCAUUUGAUUUUUACUCUAGAUAUAUAAGCUAGAGUAAAGAAAAGGUUCAUGAUGAACUUUGGACAUGAGCUUGAUGUAUGGUUCAUGAGAUUUGGUGUAUAGGAUUUGAACAUCAUUCAGUUCAUGAGGUUAAGGUAUAGUUCAUGUGGUUUAUGAGAUUUGGAUAUGGUUUGGUGUAUGGCUUAUGAGGUUUGGUGUAUGGGAUUUGGUUUAUGAACUUGAAUAUGGUUUAUGAAUUUGGUGUAUGAACUUGGUUUAGAGACUUGAUUUAUGAUUCAUGAACUUGGUUCAUUUGGUUCAUGAACUUCGUUCAUGACUCAUAGGGUUUGAUAUAUGGUUCAUGAUAUUUGGUUCAUGAACUUGGGUAUGAUUCAUGGAUUUGGUUUAUGGUUUAUGGACUUGGGUAUGGUUCAGGGACUUGGUUUAUGUUUUAUGGAUUUGGUGUAUGAACUUGAUUUAUGGACUUGGUUUAUGGUUCAUGAACUUGGUUCAUUUGGUUCAUAAGAUUGGUUCAUGACUCAUAGAGUUUGAUAUAUGGUUCAUGAGAUUUGGUUCAUGAACUUGGGUUCAUGAGAUUUGGUUCAUGACUUGGGUAUGGUUUAUGGAUUUGGGUAUGGUUCAGAGACUUGGUUUAUGGUUUAUAGAUUUGGUGUAUGAACUUCAUUUAUGGACUUGCCUCAUAGUUCAUGAACUUGGUUCAUUUGGUUUAUGAGAUUGGUUCAUGACUCAUAGGGUUUGAUGUAUGGUUCAUGAUAUCUGGUUCAUGAACUUGGGUAUGGUCUAUGAGAUAUAGUAUAUAGUUUAUAGGAUUUGGUGUAUCGUUCGAGAGAUUUUGUUCAUGACCUUGGUGUAUGGUUUAAGAGAUUUGGUUCAUGAACUUGAUGUAUGGUUCAUGAGAUUUGGUUCAUGAACUUGGUGUAUGGUUCAUGGGAUUUGGUUUACGAACUUGGGUAGCGUUCAUGAACUUGGUGUAUGGUUUAUAGCGUUUGGUUUAUGAACCUGGGUAUGGUUCGUAGUGUUUGGUUCACGAAUUUGAUUCAUGGUUUAUGGGAUUUGGUUUAUGAACUCGGGAAUGGUUUAUAGGGUUUGGUUCAUGAAUCUGGGUAUGGUUCAUGGUAUUUGGUUCAUGAACUUGGUUCAUGUUUCAUGAGAUUUGGUUCAUGAACUUGGUUCAUGUUUCAUGAGAUUUGGUUCAUGAACUUGGUUCAUGAUUCAGGAGGUUUGGUUCAUGAACUUGAUUUAUAUUUCAUGAGAUUUGGUUCAUGAGUCCAAGUUGGAAGUUGGGUUUGGGUUCUAUUCGUGGUUCGGAUUGGAUUUGAGUUUGAGUUUAUUCGUGGACUGAGUUGGAUUUGGGUUUAGAUUUUGUAGGUUUUGGGCUUUUAUGUGGACUUGAUUGGAUUUGGGUUUGGGUUUAGGUUUCAGUUUUGGCUUUCUUGAUUGGAUUUGGAUUUUUUGGGUUUAGGUUUAGGUUUUGGUUUUGGGUUUUCAUUUGUGGACUUGAUUGGAUUUGGGUUUUUAUUUGUAGAUUGUGUUUGGUUUUAAAUUUUUAUUUGUGGACUAGAUUUGAUUUUGGAUUUUUAUUUGUGGACUGGAUUUGAUUUUGGGUUUUUUAUUUAUGGACUGGUUUUGUAUUUGAAUUUUUAUUUGUGGACUGUGUUUGUAUUUAUUUUUGUUUGGAUUUAAGAUCCGAAGAAGGCUUCUUUAGACUUAUCCAAGUUUGAAUUUGUGAUCCGAAACAGUUCCUUUUUUUGAAAUUUGCUACAGAUUGAUUUUUGAGGUCCGGAUAUUGCAAUUCGAUUUUGUGGCCCGAAGAAAUUCUUUUUUUAAUUUUGAUUUUGAAUUUGGGGUCCAAAGAAAUCUCCUUUUUAUUUAUUGCAAUUUUAAUUUGGGGUCUGAAAAAAUUCCUUUAUUUCAAAUUGCAAUUUAGAUUUGGGGUUCGAAGAAAUUUUCGUUUUGAUCUUGAUUUGAUUUUGAUUUGGAGUCCGAAAAAUUUUUAUUUUAAUUUUUGAUUUGGGGUCCGAAGAAAUUUUUGUUUGAUUUUGAUUUGGAUUGAAUCUGAACCAAUUUGAGAUUCAAUGUUCUCGAAAGGGAUCGAAGGGUCCGAAGAAACGGGGAAUCAUUGAUUCCCCUCCCCUCUUCUUUCGAAAACGCUGAAUCGGUAAGGUUGGAGAUGACGGCGGCGAAGAUGAUGACGGUGGCAUGGAUCUUAACGGCCGGCGGAUUUGAUUUGACAUUUUCGAAAGAUAUUGAAAGGUCCGAAGAAACGGCGAAUCUUUGAUUCUCCUUCCCUCUUCUUUCGAAAAUACCAAACCGGUGAUACUGGAGAUGACGACGGUGAAGAUGAUGACGGUGGCAUGGACCUUAACGACCGGCAGAUUUGGUUUGAUAUUUUCAAAAGAGAUUGAAGGGUCCAAAAAAAGAGAAUUUUUUAUUCCCCUUUCCUCUUCUUUCAAAAAUACCAAACCGGCAAGGCUGGGAGUGAUGGCGGUGAAGAUCAUGACGGUGGCGCGGAUCUGUUCGGCCGGAGGAUUUGGUUCGAUAUUUUCAAAAGAUAUUAAAGGGUCCGAAGAAACAGAAAAUCUUUGAUUCUCCUCCCAUUUUCUUUCAAAAAUACCAAACCGGCGAGGCUAGAGGAGGUCGUGGCAAUGUAAAUCACCCAUCCCAUCAAUUAACGGCUUCGAAUGGGGUAUCGAGAGGUCCGAAGAAACUGGAAGCCAUUGGCUUUCCUCCACUCUCCCAUCAAAGUCGUCUAGAUGGCAUAGAUGAUUACGGUAGCAUAACCUAAAAAAAAAAAAAGAAAAGGAGGGGAGAAAAAAGAUUUUUUUUUAUAUUAUAUAUAUUUAUAUUUAUAUUUAUAUGUUUUUUAUUAUUAUUAUAUUUUUUUCUUUUUUUCUUUUUUGAUCUUUACCUGAUGAUCAGAUGACGGAUUGGAUGAACCUUCUUUGAAUUUGUUUUGUAUGUAGGUAUACUGUCUCUCCUUUUUGUAUCGUAAUGUCUCUCUAUAUCGCUAUCGUCUUUCUCUAUCUAUUUGUUCUUUUUCCCGUUUUUUCUUCUUAUAUUUAUAGUAGAAGGGGAAAUCUGAGAAAUCGGAGCGAUUCGUGGGGUUAGGCGAGAGAUAUUUUAAGAAGUAGGUUAGGAAUUCGAAAUUCGAAAUCGAAUUUUGAAUCGAUUGUUGGAGGGAUAAUAUUCAAAAUUCGAAUGGAUGUGAUUGGUUGGGAGAAAUUUUGGGAGUUGGUUAUGAUUGGUUAGGAUAAAAGAUAUUUUCUAAUUGGAUAUUGAAUUUUAGAAUGUGGAUAUGUGCCGUUAUGGCCCACUUUGAUGAAACUUGUUGGGCACAAAUGAUAAUUUUCAAUGGGCCGAAAUGAUGCCUGAAUUAUUGCAUAGGCCGAAAAUUUUAACGGGCUUUCAUGAGACCCACCAACUCGCAUUCAUGAAUGGGCCUAUUGCGGAUUUAAAUUAUAAUUAUUGGCCCCAAAAUUUCAUGGUCAACAUAAGAUCUAUUAGGAUUA
rnacentral:lncRNA from 1 species